rnacentral:lncRNA from 1 species
AAGAUUUUAGGUAAGUAUCUACCUAAGAUGUUAACAAUACACUUAAUGAGAUGAACAAAUUUUCAAUUAUCGAACUAACAAUUAGGUUUCACGAGUUGGAUUAGAUAUGAGAAGAUAUGUUAACAAUACAAAUACAAUUAUCAAUUUACGAGUUCUGUGAGAUUGAGUUACAUAUGUGAAGAUGAUAACAUUAUUAUUAAUGUGGUAACAAAAACAUGAAAUACCGAGAUGUUAACUAUAAUCAUCAAGAUAGUGAGCAUCUGCCAAUUAAUGGUCUGGAAACUUGGUUAUCUCUAAUAAUAAAAUUAAGCCGGUAAUACCAAUUUUAAUCUAGUAAAACUAUAGUUAGUAUGUUAUCAACCCUCACAUCUUCUUCAGCGUCAGACCAAGAUAAAUAUUUCUCCGCAUUCAUCUCAGUGUCAGGACAAAUGAUGGGAUAAACGUGGAUAUGCGGACUCGAUGUUGAUAUAUUACUAUGCUAAUAAUGAUAAUAAUGAGCAGAAAGAUGAUAAUAAAAAACAUAACUUGAAAGGUCUCAAUGUUAGCGUGUAAAAAUUCUAUUAACAUGGUUACUAAAACGUUGUCCGCUAAGUCUGUUAGAAUACUUUUUAUAACUCACCCACCUUUUUGCAUCUAAAUCUUUCGCGUUGUCAAACUUAUCGACGAGAGAAAAAAAAUUAGAAAUCGUGAUCAAGUUAACACUAGACUUAUCGAGUAGAGAAAGUCCUCGAAAAACCCUAAAAAUAAUUCACUCUAAUCAGGUAGUGUUUAAAUUCUGAACCAAUCGAUAUAAAAUGAAAACACUAGGUCUGAAAUUUAAGACAAUUGCCUUCACCGUUUUAGACUUCAAAAAAGAUGCUGAUUAGAUUUUCCAGAAACAAGACGCUUGCUUUUGAACAAAAAAGAUUCAGUUUCUUUGAUUCUCCAAACAAAAAUAAUUCCUGAAAAAAGGUGGUGAUUAGAAUUUCUGAGACAUAAUUUAAUUUAAAUUAUAUUGAAUUUCUCCAAAAAAAUCAAAUAAAAAUAUCUUAUUCAUGCCAUCUCACACAAUUCAGCUAUAUCCUAAAAUUAUUCUUUGGCAAAUAUAUAGGUGUGCAAUCGUCAAUUAUACAUAUACAUUGUUUGCCACAUAUUGUCUUGUUGUGUCAGUUAAUUUUCGAGUCCUCUUGGUACAUAUCUUCAUAAUAUCCAUAAAUGUAAUUGGAUUUAUAAUAUAAUUUUUAUAUUUCACAAUCAUCAACAUACAUGACAAUAUUAAUACAUUAUACAUUUUUAUAUAAUAUUAUAUCAAGUUUAAACAAAAUAUACCUAACAUCAUAAAGACAAACUUCAAUGUCGUCUCCUCUAUUUGUUUCGCCUUCCCGUUAGCAUUCCCGUGCAUAAUCCCUAUAAGCAUGUGUAUGUGUAUGAAAAAUUGAAAUUUUUUUACAAAUACAACAGUCUCAAUCCAAGUCUUAAACUAACAUGAUAUCCCUGUUUCUCCCAUCAUGGUCCAAGCAAGAUUGUAUUUCUAGAAACCUUAUUGAUCCAAUCAAAGUGUUCGAUUUUUUGAUGACUGUUGAACCAUUCACUUUAUCAUUUUCCUUAGAAGGUAUAAUCAAAGAAGUUCGGUUUGUUGCAAGACUGUCUUUUGAAAUAUCUUUAUUAACCACGAGAACUGCAUUGUUUGGGGGCUAUCUUUUGCCUAUCAAGAACAUAGAAUAACAUAUAUGUCUUCUGGAUUGAACAUAUCCUCCCCACUAACUUGGGAAACCUACAACAACAAUGUAAAGAGGGACUUAGUACUAGCCACGUCAACAAGAAACUACUAACUACAUGUACAAUAGCAAAUACAAAAAUUUGUAAUCCAAAGAACGUAGAACACACAAUAAUGUAAAGAGGCAAUUAGUACUAGCCAUGUCAACAAGAAUGUACUAGGUGUAGGUACAAUAUCAAAAAAAAAAAAUUGUAACCUAGAGACGUAGAACACUGCUACUUACCUUAUUGUCAUUAAGGUAAUAUAAUAUUCCACUUGAAGUACGAACAAAGCAGGCAUAGUGACCAGAAUCCACGUCUUCACCUAGGUUGCAUGGAAUCAAAAGCGGGUACGCGGAAGCGAAGCGUUUGGAAACGUGGAAGCGAUUUUUAUAGAAAUUAUAGAAAGUGGGUACGUGUUGGAAGCGUAUAUAAAAAUUAAUAUAUAUAUAUAUAUAUACAUAUAUAAUAAAUAUUAAACAUUAUAUCAUAUAAAAAAUUAUAAUUAACAUACAAAUCUAAUACAUAAAUUCUAAAUAUCUCUCUAUAUUUAAAAAUCAAAUAGUGUACGUUUACAAUAGAGAAAAGUCAAAUAGUUCAAAGUCAAAAAUUUAAGAUCAUUCUUCAUUCUCAUUUUACUAAUUCCAUCAAAUAAAAUUGUUUUAAAUUUUUUUUACCAAUAAAAACAUCAUCAAACUCAAAUUUCUCAAAUUUAAUUUAAUUCAAUUAAUCAUUUCAACAUCUCCCUAAUAAAUGAUUCAUGCUGCUAUCAUUUUUCUAACUAUGAUAUUUAAAAAAAUAAAAUACAAAAUUAGUAUGCAAAAUUAGUUUUGGUUUUUCUUUUGUUCUAUAAAAAAACUAUCAAAAAUAAUUUCAUAUUUCUUAUUUAUUUUGUGACAUCAAAUUUUUUAAAUGGAAUCGCAAGCUUCCAAAAUAGAAUCGUAAGCUUCCAAGGAGCUUCCAAAUUGAAUUUUUUAGAAGCGUUAUGGAAGCGAGAUUCCGAAAGCUUCUGAGAGCUUCCGAUUCCGACUAAGAUUCCGAAGCGGGAAGCGGACGUCCGACGAAGCUUCCGUGCUUCCUAGGUCUUCACCAUAAUACAUCGAAUUACCUUUUUGUUCAAUAAAAGUAUUGUAUUGUUACAAAGGAAAUCAUGAAGCUCAAAGAUUAAAAAAAUACAUGAACAAGAUUGUCUUAACAAUUGUAAGGACAUGUCAAUUCUAUGGAAUAUAGAGCACAAGUCGAAGUCUACUUACGUAGGGACCACUAACAAAAGGUUUCAUGUCAAUCAUGUUGAGGAAAAAUCGACAUUUUUGUCGAUUUUUCUUAAUCUAUGAGUUUUAAACCGUUUGAGAUGUACCGUUAGAACUUGAAGGGUUUAGAAAUAAUUAAAUUCAUUUUAUCCCUAACCAGCAACUAUUAAUGCAUAUGAAAAAUAAUUUAAUAGUUGGACAAGUUACGAAUAUACUAAUUUUUAGAACUAGAGAUGUAAUUUACCUUUCACCAUUUUUAGUUUACUUAUUUUGAUAUUAUAUUAAUUAACUAUAAGAAUAAUAGAUAUUUAUCAAAAUUACUAUAUAGUAAAGAAACUUUUUUAGUUAUAUAUUAAUAAAGAAUAUUAUUUUCAUGUGAUGUUUGGCGAUUAAUGUUAGAGCAAAAGUAGUUCUAAAACUAACUAAAAAUGGUGUAUUUCGACACCAAAAUGUUGUAUAUCCAUAAAAAUGGCUUAACUACCAUCAAUACAUGAUAAUCGUAUGAAAAAGAUGAUAGUUGUUGUUUGCUUUGUUUGUACAAAUGGACUUGGUAAGUGUAGAAAUGAGAUUCACUAUGUAAUGCCACAACUGCCUCUACCAAUGAGCAUCCAUAUCCUCUCUCGGAUCCAUAGCCUCACCCUGUAUAACGGUCGGUCUGUUGCGUCCGAGAGGCUUUGUUUACCGAUCCUACCAAUCACCACAAAAUCUUUCUCUGUGUUUUGUCCUCACUCACACGGUUUCGAUAAUCACUUCCCAGAAGAUUAUUCAUCCUGAAAUUGCUCAAGUUCAAGCACGCCUAACUGUGGAGUUCUCUCAGGACGUUUUGACCGAAAAGAUAAGUGCACUUUAGUGAUAUAAAUGGCCAAAUCAAUAUUUUUAAACCUCCCCACAUUCACCACAAUAUUAAUGAAACCGAGGUGUUAUAAUUCACUCCCACUAACAAAUAGCAAAGUCUUCGUUGCGCACCAAGACCGUCACCCCUGAAGGUGUGAGCCCUCUUGACUCUACACUCGCAUGGGUUUGGCUCUAAUACCACUUGUAAGGCCUCAACCGCCCCUACAGUGAGAAUCCACAUCCUCACUCAGGCCCAUGGACCCCGCCCCUGUUCUACGGGCGGUCCGCUAAGUCCAAGAGGCUUUAAAGACUUGUUUACCUAUCCUACAAAUUACCACAUGAUAUUUCUCCGUGUUUUGUCUUCAUUCACACUGUUCCCACAAUCACAUCCCGAAAGGUCACUCAUCCUGAAAUUAUUCCAGCUCAAUCACGUUUAACUGUAGUAGAGUUAUCUCAGGACGCUUGACUGAAAAGAUAAGUGUACUUUGGUGAUAUAGGUGGUCAACUCAAUACUUUUAAACCUCUCCGCAUGCACAAUCAUAUUCUUGAAACCUAAAUGUUAUACACUACAUUUAUCUUGUCAAUCGUACGAUAUUUAUUAGCUACAUUUAAAAUAAUAUUUAAAUUGAUUAUUUUUAUUUUAUAAUUUUUAAUAUUGUGAAAAACUUAAAAUUAUAAUGUUAUUUUUUUCUUAAUUUUAAUGGAGCCUCAAAAUUUAUUGGUCCGGCUCUGGCUUCAGCUCAUAUUUAGAUCAAUGAAAUCUCUUACCCAAAUAAAAUGUACAUUUUUUUAAAGCUAAAAAGAACUGAUAUAUAUAUAUAUAUAUAUAUAUAUAUAUAUAUAUAUAUAUAUAUAUAUAUAUAUAUGAAUUAUUUUCCCUUUUUAGUAUAUAAAUUGUGUUUACAAGCCAAUGCUUUCAUAAAUUUGGGAUCUUAUUCCAAGCAAAUAUAUUUUUUAACCAUAAACUAUAAAAUAAAAAUUAUAUUUUGAUGGGACAACUCAAGUUUUCAUAUUGAGUACAUUUAUAGACUAAAUUUUAUUUUUUAUCAUAUAUUUUCUUGGACUUGACAUUAAUUAAUUAACUUCAUCUAUUUUUCAAGCUAAUUGAAUUUUAUGAAAAAAAAAAAAAAAAAAACGAAGAAGUUAUUUUGCAAAUUCAUAAAAAGCCCAUAAGAGAAAACUUGAAUAGAACCAAAACCCAACAAAACCCAACAAAACCCAAACUUAGCGUCUCUCCUUUCUCUUCUUCUUCUUCGUCUUCUGUGUCUUUUUCCAAACUUUUGCUGUGCGCUUUUUUUUGUCCAAAGAAUCAAUAUUCUUUUGCCCUCUCACACGAGUCAUAUUUACCUUUUUGCCACAACAAUCAUGGCGGCGACGGCGGUGGUCUGGCAACCCCGAGACGAUGGUCUCGCUGAGAUCUGUUCUCUUCUCGAACAACAGAUUUCUCCUUCCUCCGUCGUUGACAAGUCUCAGAUUUGGAAGCAGCUUCAACACUUCUCUCAGUUCCCUGAUUUCAACAACUAUCUCGUCUUCAUCCUCGUUCGCGCUGAGGUUUUCCAACUUUUCUCUACUCUCUCUUCUCUUCCUGAGGUUUUUUUUUCUCCGUAUUGACUCAAUCUACUUGUCGAAUGAGCUCGGAUCGUUGAAUUUUCCUAAGAAUCUCUUCGUUUCUUCUCUUCGUUAUUAGUUUCUGUGUUUUGUGCCCUAAUGGAUGGAUAUAUCUCCUUAUUGAUCAUAUUCGUCUAUGUCAAUAGUUGGUGUUUAUGUUGUAUGACCUUUGUGAUUCAAUUGACUUGAAGUUUACUUGUAUCCAAAUAACAUAAAUGUUGUUUAUUUAGUUGCAUUUACAUGCUCUAAUUGCAGAUCCUAGACAAGAACUCAUUAGGUUUUAUGCAUUUGUAUCUAAAUAUCUGUUUCCUAGCUGAUGUGUGCUUGUACGAUGAUCAGGGAAAGUCCGUAGAGGUUCGUCAAGCUGCUGGAUUGCUUCUGAAAAAUAAUUUGAGGGGUGCUUAUCCAUCCAUGGCUCAAGAAAAUCAAAAAUAUAUCAAGUCGGAGUUGCUGCCUUGUCUUGGAGCAGCGGACAGGAAUAUCCGGACCACAGUUGGAACUAUCAUCAGUGUUAUUGUUAAUAUAGAGGGAGUUUCUGGAUGGCAUGAGCUUUUGCCAGCUCUUGUUACUUGUUUAGACAGUAAUGACCUAAAUCACAUGGAUGGUGCCAUGGAUGCAUUGUCAAAGGUAUGUAGCAGCUGUGCUUUACCUUUUCUGUUUCUUGCUCUUGUUUGUUGAACCUUUGGUUUAUGAACCAUAAGCCUGUGUAAUCCAAAGUUCUGAUUGUUGGUUGUGAUCUAUUUGGAAUUCUUUCAAAGUUUUUGUAAUAUCUACAUUUUGUGUUCUUAUCGAUCAGAUUUGUGAGGAUAUCCCGCAUGUCUUGGAUACAGAAGUGCCUGGCUUAGCAGAACGCCCUAUCAACAUUUUCCUGCCUAGGCUAUUUCAGGUAAACAUCUCAUAUUCCUACACAGAUUUCGGAACUUGGUUGUAGCACUUGUUUAGGUUCUAUUUUGAUUUCUUUUCGUCCUGUUGCAUUGGUUGCGAUAAGAUUGAUUACCACUCUUUUGUUUGAGCAGUUUUUUCAGUCACCCCAUGCUUCACUGAGGAAGCUUGCCCUGGGUUCUGUGAACCAAUAUAUCAUAAUCAUGCCUGCUGUAAGUAUUGCAAAGACUACUUGUAAAGCUUUGUUUUUGUUUUAUAUGUUAUAAAGGACCGUGGAUGGUAACAAUCGACGUUUGGCAGGCUUUGUACAAUUCCAUGGAUAAGUACCUUCAGGGGUUGUUUGUCCUCGCAAAUGAUCCUGUAGCAGAAGUCAGAAAAUUGGUAUGCGUCUUAUUUAAGCUUCUAUCAAUUGUUUCUUAUUUUUGUCAGUACAGGAGAGGGUUAUUUCGUCUUCGAAGAAUUGGUUUCUUUAGCUGACAUAUGAUUCAAUCAGAUUCCCAUCUCAUAUCGGAUGUUCUUAUGCUUCUGUAAUAAUGUCUUUUCUUCCUUUUCUAAAAGGUCUGCGCAGCAUUUGUGCAUCUCACAGAAGUACUCCCCUCAUCCAUAGAGGUAUUUCUCAUUGAGGUUUUAUUAUACACAUUGCUUCAAAUCUAUUCCAAAGUGUCCCUUGUUUUGAGGUACUUCAUAUGUUUAGUUUGAGUAUUUCGUCUACCCUGCAUCUCAGAUUUGUCUUCGUCUCUUAUUUUCUAUUUCAGCCGUAUCUCAGGAAUGUCAUGGAAUACAUGUUACAAGUUAACAAUGACCCUGACGAAGAAGUGUGUCUUGAAGCAUGUGAAUUUUGGUAAAAUGUUAUUCUCUUUGUUUGCUUUAUAGAUGACGGUUUUAUACCUGUUUUUCUCUUAUGUUCCAUCCUUGUCCUCAUUUAAUAACAUAAAGCUAUAUUGUUGUUUGGCAGGUCUGCAUACUGUGACGCCCAGCUGCCUCCAGAGAACCUGAAAGAGUUUCUGCCUGGCCUAAUUCCAGUUUAGUGAUACUUCUCCUUUUCUUCAGUAUAUGUUAGAGAUAGAAUCCCAAAACCAGAAUAAAACUCAAAACUCUCUUUAUUAAAACUAAGAUAAAGAUACUGUAACAAGAAUAGAGCAAAAGCUCCCAAGAGAACUAUGUUCUCUUCCUCUCGGCCUAACCUGAUCAAAUCCUCCAAAGCUCUCUAUUGCUUGGAUAGGCUUCACAAACAUAAACCCUUAUUUAUAAUAAAACGUAAAGUAAAAUACUCUAGGAAAAGUAAAUAAGAAAAUGGAAAUCCUAAACUAUUUGCUAAAUCAUAAAAUAGGAAGUAUUCGUAUCAGUAUAUUUUUGGGCACUUAAUAAUUUACUCAGCUGGUGUAGCUUGUAAUGUUCAUAAAAUAUAUCUGUUUUAGGUGUUGCUUGCAAACAUGGCUUAUGCAGAUGACGACGAGUCACUUUUGGAUGCAGAGGUUGUUUUUCUGUUGUUAUUAUAUGUUUUGUCACCUUUCUCAAUAUAAUUGCCAUCUAUAUAUAUGAAAACUGCUCACUUUUUCAGGAAGAUGAGUCACAACCAGACAGAGAUCAGGUGCAGUUGUUUGUUCUUGUGUCUUUGAUUUUUCUUAUAAUUUUUUCCUCUUCAAUUUUCAUUCAUUUUGGUUCCCCUACAGGAUUUGAAACCUCGUUUUCAUACAUCAAGACUUCAUGGAUCAGAAGAUUUUGAUGAUGAUGUACGUGAUUUACUUUUUUGUGUCAUUUGAUAUCUGUACAGAAAAGCAUGUGUUAUAUGAUACAAAAAUAUUAAUUCUAUAGAUCCCUCUUUAAUGACUGUCUCUGGGUACAGGAUGAUGACUCGUUUAACGUGUGGAAUUUAAGAAAGUGUAGUGCAGCAGCUAUUGACAUUCUCUCUAAUGUAUUUGGAGAUGAAAUCCUUCCAGCAAUCAUGCCCCUAAUUCAGGUAAAUGUUAUUCCUCUUAGUCUUUUUGAAAUGAACACAAUUAGCUAAACCCUGUUCUUCCAAGCUGCAGACAAAUUUAUCAGCCUCUGGUGAUGACGCCUGGAAACAAAGGGAAGCUGCUGUUUUGGCUCUCGGGGCUAUUUCUGAAGGCUGCAUGAAUGGUCUUUACCCUCAUUUGUCUGAGGCAAGUUCGUUUUUGAUCCACAUCAUCUCAUAUAUAUGAUUUUUCUCUGCUCAGUUGAUAUACAUCAACAUGCGAACGCUUUAUUUCUACAGAUUGUGGCAUUUCUUCUUCCUCUUUUAGAUGAUAAAUUCCCGCUGAUACGAAGCAUAUCUUGCUGGACGCUUUCUCGAUUUGGCAAGUAUCUUAUCCAGGUAUGACUGGAACAGGAUAUUUCACACUUUAACUGCUUCAAACGGUCUUUAGAUGAUUCACUGUUUUAUUUUCUAGGAAAGUGGCAAUCCGAAGGGUUAUGAACAAUUUGAGAAAGUUCUUAUGGGUCUUCUCCGCAGACUCUUGGAUACGAACAAGCGGGUCCAGGAGGCUGCCUGUUCAGCUUUUGCAACUGUUGAAGAGGUACCUAUUGGCUUUGCAAUGUGGGUUUUGGUGUUAUUUGUCGAUGUUGGUUGACCAUGUGAAUCUUCUAUGAACGUGUAGGAUGCUGCCGAAGAGUUAGUGCCACACCUGGGGGUAAUACUGCAGCAUCUGAUGUGCGCUUUUGGAAAGUAUCAGGUCAUUAAAUUCUCUUAAACUGCUUUGCCAGACUAAAUAUCCGUGGUGGCUAUUAUCUACUUCAAACCAUUGUUUACCUAACAUACAAUUUUCAUAUACCAGAGACGAAACUUAAGAAUUGUUUAUGAUGCUAUUGGAACACUGGCAGAUUCAGUUAGAGGAGAGUUGAACAAGGUAUAACAAUUGGGUUUGUACAAGGUUAAUCUGAUCUUGUAAAUUUAGAUCCUUGACUAGUAGUUUUUCAAUUCCAUAUACUGGUGGUAGUAUAAUUUUUUUUUGUUGCCUACUUAUUAUUCCUCUCUUAUGCAGCCUGCUUAUCUUGAGAUUCUGAUGCCCCCACUGGUUACAAAGUGGCAACAGCUUUCCAAUUCAGAUAAAGAUCUAUUUCCAUUGCUAGAGUGCUUCACAUCCAUUUCUCAGGUAUGGGCUACUUGUCAAGGUCUUAAGAAUAUCUGUAAGGUCUUGUAUCUGUUGCACGAAUGAAACUAUCCUUGAUGAUCCUACUCAGUGAAGUUAUAGUGUUGGUAGUUUUAAGAUCACUGAAAAAGAAUCCUGGGGGUUGUGGGUCAGCUAAAAAUCCAAAACUUCCAGCAUUUGAUCAACGAUUAUUUUUGGAAGCCUGAAACUGCUACUAAUAGAAGGAUAUAUCAGUUAUGAUGCCUGACAAGUUAAUCUUGACCUAAAAUUAGACUGGUUGCAGCAUGAACUCUCUAUGUCUAACAAAUUGUGUUUCCAUGUUUCAGGCUUUAGGUGUAGGAUUCGCUCCAUAUGCUCAGCCUGUUUUCCAGAGAUGCAUGGAUAUCAUCCAAUUGCAGCAGCUGGCUAAGGUUCCAUUCAGAAUUCUGCGAUUUCAUCUCAUUUGAGAAUUAGAGUGACUUUUCCAGUUUCCUUCGUCACAGGCUUGCAUGUACAUAACUAUUGCAUGUUUUUGUUUUCCGUUUGAUCAAAGCUCGCUUCUGUUGUUUGUAGGUUGAUCCUUCUUCUGCGGGGGCUCAGUAUGACAGAGAAUUCAUUGUUUGUUCUCUUGAUUUGCUUUCUGGACUUGCUGAAGGACUUGGCAGUGGGAUAGAGUCUCUGGUACUUCUUUUUCUUUAUGUCUUGCUCUUACAAUCUAUUAUGCAUAAGUUCUAACUAAGUGGAUAACUUUUAUAACUGCUCUGAUCAUUGUUGUUCGUAUAACAUGAUCAAGUGGAUGGUUGUGUCUAAUGUAUUGUGGUAUAACAUAAUUGAGUUGAUUUCCAAAACCGGAUAUAUUCUUAUUAUGUUGCUCUUAUGCAGGUUUCACAAAGUAACCUAAGGGAUCUGCUUCUCAAUUGUUGCAUUGAUGAAGCUCCUGAUGUCAGACAAAGUGCUUUUGCCCUAAUGGGUGAUCUCGCAAGAGUAAGCCACAUAUUCUUUUAUUCUUAUUUUACUUUUAACAUAAAGAAACAGUAAGGGAAGUGAAGUUAUGUGAGAUUAUAUGUUAUAAUUCCGACUCCCUUUUGCUAGUUAUAGUAGUGAAAUAAUGCUUUUUGGCUACUACCGACAGGUAUUCCCGGUCUAUCUACAACCCCGCCUGCUUGAUUUCCUUGAAAUUGCAAGCCAGCAACUGGUUCGUAUCCAAGUUUUAUUGAUACUAUACCUAUUCUCUUCUUCUAUGGCACUGAUCAUAUCUAUGCUUUGUACAGAGUACAAACCUCAAUAGAGAAAACCUUUCUGUCGCAAAUAAUGCUUGUUGGGCCAUUGGAGAAUUAGCGGUCAAGGUAAUACCAAAAUACUAUUUCUUCUAUUGUUGCUUGAAGUUUCUGGUUAAGAGCAGACUCACUGAUAUGAACUCAAUGUUUCAGGUUCGUCAAGAAGUUUCACCAAUAGUGGCCAAAGUUGUCUCUUCCCUAGGCCUGAUUCUUCAACAUGGAGAGGUGACUCUAGCAGCCUAUAAAUUUGACCUCUUGGCCACGUCUAAGUCUAUCAAAUAACUGCGGUAUUUGAUGAGUAUGCCUAAUUUUAUUCUCUUGUGAAGCAGGGUGUCAAUAAGGCACUAGUUGAGAACAGUGCAAUUACCCUUGGGAGACUAGCAUGGAUACGUCCAGACCUCGUUGCACCACACAUGGAGCACUUUAUGAAGCCAUGGUGCAUGGCAUUGUCAAUGUUAGGGAACCUCUGUGUUAUUUUGGAGUCUUUUUCCAACUUCUGCUCCAUAGAACAAUUUCUUAUCAUACUUUCUUUUCAGGGUACGUGAUGACAUUGAGAAAGAAGAUGCAUUUAGAGGAUUAUGUGCAGUGGUAUUGCUCUCUACUCUUUUCUUUGUGCUCGAAACAUGAAUAAGUUUGAUAUUUACAAGUGUUCUCCACAAAUUUAGGUUAAAGUGAAUCCAUCAGGAGGUGUCAGCUCACUUGUUUUCAUAUGCCAAGCCAUUGCGAGUUGGCAUGUAAGUGAACAGAAACCAAACUGUUCUAAAAUCAAUAUUGUUACCGAGCUUUGGAACAAUUGGUUGUGAUACACAAAUAUCAACUUUCUUUUUUAUCAUAGGAAAUAAGAAGCGAGGACGUCCAGAACGAAGUCUCCCAAGUACUGAACGGUUAUAAACACGUAAGCUAUGCUGAAUUUAAGUUCAGUGUUUAACAAUCCUAAGCGGUUACUCCCGUACAUUAGAAGUGAUCUGAAGUCAAAUGACUAAUGCCUUUUAAUUUAUUUUGGGUUCAGAUGCUGGGAAACUCAUGGGCGGAAUGUUUAUCUGCUUUGGAUCCUCCCGUAAAGGAAAUGCUUGCGAGAUAUCAAGUGUAACAUUGAUCGUACACCGGUUUGUAUUAGAGGAAUAUGCUCUAGCUUAUUCAUUGCAAACAACAAAUAGAGUCACAGAGUUUGAGCAAAAGCGCUUGAGACAUCAUAUUUUUUUGCAAGAUUCAACGAAGGGCAAAAAUUUCGCAAGAGAAGACAUACAGUACAGAGUAUGGGUGUGUGUGUGCUCUUCAGAUUACAUGGUUGGAAUUUUUUUACGUCCUGUCUUUAUUUUUAAUCCUAUUUCUACAUCGAUUCUUCGUCCUCUUUUGUUUUGCGGGCAACGUUGUAUGGUGGUUUGAGCAGUUUUGGUAAGAUUUCUAAACCGAAAGAGCUAAGCAAAGUCAAGAUUUAUUGUUCUUCAGCUUGUGUGAACUAUUAAACCUGUGGAUACCAAUAAGAAAAUGUGAUUGGGAUUUUGUGUAUUGUCUUCCAUCAUUCUUCAGUUGCAUUUACGUUUUUCACCUCUUCACAAUAAUGGUAUCUCAAUAGUCAACUGUUUAAGUAUGAUUCGAAGUUCCCAUGAUCUCCCUGAAUUCAAUAUCUAAAUACUAUUGCGGUCUAUUGUACAUUUGCAAUGUUUUUAGGGCUAAAACAUGAGUUUAUCAAUAUAACGGGUAAAGAUAAUUGUAUAAUAAAUACUAAAGGGUAACAAUGUGCAAUAAUAACAUAUGUAUUAGUUUGGCAUUUAUAAGCUGUCACCAUAAAUUCAGGUUAAAGUGGAUCCAUUAGAAGUUUCUGACUCGCUUUAUUACAUAUGUCAAGCCAUUGCGAGUUGGCACGUAAGUAAACAGAAAACUAACUCUGACCCUCCUAGCUAUAUUUAAAUUCAAUCUCGUUACAGAGAUUUGGAACAAUUGGAAAUAAGAAGUGAGGACGUAAAGAAUGAAGUCUCCCAAGUGUUGAACGUUUAUAAAAACGUAAGAUAUACGUACUUUGAGUUCAGUGUUUAACCAUUUCAAGUGCUUAGUUUCUCAUUUACAUAUAUUUGAAGCAAUCUGAUGUCAAAUUAUUAAUGUCUUUGAUUUAAUUUUAUGUGUUCAGAUGCUAGGAGGAAACUUAUGGGAGCAAUGUCUCUCUUUUUUGGAUCCUCCUGUGAAGGAAAGGCUUGCGAGAUAUUAAGUGUAACAAUGAUUUUACACCGGUUUAGUCUCAAAACAAUGUCGCUUAUUCUCAUUGCACUCAUUGAUCAAUAACUAGAGUGACAAAGUACUUUGAGCAAAAGGUGUUUUAUUAGUUGCAUUUACAUUUUUAAAUCCAAAAUGUGAUUGUUUGGAUUUGGAUCCAUGGUAUACACAAGCAAAAUUGGAUCAAUGAGAACUCUGUUAAUUAAGUUGUAGUUUCAUUAAAAAUACUAUAUUUCUUUUAUCAACAUAAGAUAAUUAAUGUUUUCGUUUUACCAAAAAAAAGAGGAGAAAAUAUAGAUACUAACCAUGAAAACUAAAAGAAUUAACAAACUAAUUAGGGUUUUGUGCAAAAAAAAUCCCUCCAACUCGCCCAUUUUUGUAACUUUACCAUUCAUCUCCGGAAAAUGUAGAUUAAUUAUAUGAAGUCUAAAAUAAUACGCAAUGUAACCCUUAUUCGCUACCGUCAAGUUCGUAAAAUUUUGACAAAUAAUAUGUCAAAUCGAAUCCCUCGGGAUGAAGAGUUCAACUUUACUUUCAGAAUUAUAAAAACUAAUGUAUGUGACCCGAAAAACGUUUACAAUAUACGUAUAAUACAUAUAAUGGUUAUAUUGCGUAUUAUUUUAGACUUCAUAGGAUUAAUCUGUAUUUUUCGGAGAUGAAAGGUAAAACUGCAAAAAUAGGCGAGUUGGAGGAUUUUUUUGCGCAAAAUCCAACUAAUUAUUAUGAGUUAUAGUGUUUUGUUAGAGGAGUAGAGGAAAUGACCAUUUAACUUUCAUUCACAUUUUCUCUGUCUCAUCAUCUCUCUCAAAUCUUUUAAUCUGAUUUCCCCCACAAACUUUUGCUGCAAAUCUUUCGCCGGAACACUAAAUCGUCGAAUCGCUACCACCACCACCACCACCUCCACUCUAAUCAAAUCUAAUCUCUCACUAUCGUCAUCAACACAACAUCCACCACCAUCAACACAGCAUCUACCACCAUCUUCAACACCACCACCACCAAUCAUAUUUAAUCUCCCACCGGCCACCACAACCACCAAGCACCACUCCCACUCCAAUCAAAUCUAAUCUCCCACCAUCGCCAUCAACAUAACCUCCACCACCAUCCUAAACGUCACAAAUCAGAUUUAGUAUCCCAUCACCACCACCACCAAACCACCACCCCCACUCCAGUCAAAGUAUUGGGAUAUAUACAUAUUUAUGUUAAUAAGUAUAUUUCGGAGAUAUAUCUUGCGGAGAAUAACUUGAUCUCCAAGUUUAGUUUACCUAAUAUUCAUGUGUCUAUAUAUUGCGAUGUAACCGUGUCAUAUGAACAAAAGAGAAUACAUUCUUCUAAACCUAGUCGUCUCUAGUUUCUACAUGGUAUCAGAGAAACGCUCAUGAUUCAUUGAUCUCUCUUUAAUUUCAAAAAUUCUCUUUUGUUUUCGUGUUUACUACUCUAUUUUCUUUGUCGAUCUUUGAUUAAGAUAAAAAAACAUGUUCGAUGGCUAGUGAGGAUCUAUCGAUGGUGCCUAAGGUUAUCGACACUACAAAAGUCACACCUUAUUCAAUGUUCUCUGGUGACAAUCCGGGAUAUAUGAUUUCCUCUGUUCAAUUGACCGGAGAAAAUUAUGCGGAGUGGGCAACAGAGAUGCUCAACGCUCUCAAAACCAAGAGGAAAUUAGGGUUUAUUGAUGGUUCCAUCAAGAAACCCGCAGCUGGAGAUCCGGAAUGGAUUCUUGGACAAGUGUGAACUCGAUGGUUAUUGGAUGGCUGAGAACUUCAAUAAUCACUCGUGUUUGUUCGACGGUGUCAUUCACCUCGGACGCGUCUGAGUUAUGAGACAGUUUGAAGAAGUUCUCGGUUGGGAACAAGGUGCGAACCCAUCAGAUUUUGUGUCAGCUUGCGGCGUGUCGUCAAGAUGGCCAAUCCGUGAUUGAUUAUUACGGAUGUCUUGUUGUCUUGUGGAUGAUCUCCACAGUUAUCGUCCUCUUCCUGUGUGUACCUAUGUGUACCUGUGGUGCCGGUGACGUAUUCGCAAAGGAAAGAGAGGAUGAGAAAGUGCAUCAGUUCGUUAUGGGUCUUGAUGAGUCUCGUUUUGGUAAUGUGAUUUGUGCAAUCGUUGACGCGGAUCCGAUGCUUGAUUUGGUACAAGGUUAUGCUAAUGUGAUCUAAGAGGAGCAGAGACUUGCGGCAUUGAAGAAAAAGGAGCAACAGCUGGACGCAAUCGGGUUUGUUACUCGCCAUGAAUCUUCUACGUCUGAUUCUUCUUUGAUGACCGGUGAUGCCUCUGGUUUUGCAACACGAUUUUCUCCAAGUGGUAGAAAAAACAGAGACCGUAACUUUGCGUGUCCCAACUAUGGAAGGCAGGGACAUGAAAAAGAAGUAUGUUGGCAGAUCGUUGGAUAUCCCGAGUGGUGGAUAGAACGAAACAAGUCUGGUGGAAGUCAUGGUUCAAACCGUGGACGUGGAUCAACAUCUGGACCCUCUGGUCGAGGCCGUGGAUUCACUAUAGUGGCUCACGCCACCAGUCCUGAUGCCUCUGCAUUCUCAUUGUUGGGGUCGGAUCCCACACAUCUUCGGUAGGAUCCACUUGGAUCUGUCCACGUCAUUAUUACAUAAUAAUCCUCUUGGAUUUCUAGAUAUUUCAUUGCGAGAAUCGAGCUCGACCUGUCGGAAGUUCGAUUCAGUUUAUUAAAGAGCUCGAUCUUUACCAGUACGGAGUUCGCUCUUAUUCAACAUAUAGUUCGCAUAAAAGAAGGCCGAAGCGAGGAGAAUAUUGUUCGAGGUUCGCGGCAGCGUCAAGACGCAGGAGUUUGGAGUCAACAAGAAAGAGUUCGGAAGAUCCACGCGAAGCCCAAUAUAGUUCAAAUUCAAGCCGUUUCGGUCAAAUUGUAACCUACAUGAUUAAUGCGGAUCAAUGCGAUUAUGAGCAGUAAAUGACCGCAAUGAUAAUGUUUUCUCUAUAAAAACAACCUCAAACGCAUGUGUUUGGGAGAGAACAACUUUUUACCUCUUACGAUCAAGCAAUACAACAUACUCUUUCUUUUACAAUUUCGCAAGGCUUUUUACUAUUUUAUUCUUGUCAAACUCUUUCGCUUUAUUUAGUUUCUUGGUUACUUUCCUUUUUAAAUCCUUAUUUUCAUUUGUUGAUUUUAGAGUUUUUCUCCACAAAAUUACUUAAAGACAAACGAGUGUGAAUCCUACAUCCACAUUUUGGCGCCGUCUGUGGAGAGUUACCGUAAAACUCUUUAAUCUCAAAAUCUCUCUUUUUCAAACCAAGAAACUAUGGCUGAUCAGCAAGCUUUGAGCAAUGCAAUUGCCUUGCUUACUCAGUCAACCACUGAUCUGACCAAUCAGAUGGGUAUACUCGCUAGUGCCAACGCCACUUUUGGUGAAAGGUUUGUUGGGGUCGGAUUCCAUCCUUUAGCGCCAAGCCAGACUUAGAAUACUUCGGGAAUCUUUCGGCGAUCGCCUCGGUUGUGGAUGUCGGAAUCCGCAAUACGAAUUUUAAGAUAUAACUCGGGCCGUCUAGCCUUGCUAAUUCGAACAGCAAUCGUCAAAGAGAAAAUAAAAGAGUGAAGUAUGUGUAUUCGUUUAUUGCUCAAGAAAAAUCCCCCCCUCUACAAUGGUUUUCGUUUCCUAUUUAUAAUUACAAGAUUUGAAACCGAAAUCGCUCGUCAAGCCGCAGAUCUCGCCUUCUUUACUGUUUCCGUUUCGAAUCUUCCCGAUCUGGCAGAUCCCGUGCAAUCCGCCUUCAUUUAACUCGCGGGAUCCGACGUUUUACUCGAACUGGGCUUGAACUUAUCGGGCCGCUCUCUUCGUCCCCUGGACUGGGCCGACGGCCCACUUCGUCUUAUUGAUUCACUAUCUUUCCGGGCCGGAUCCGAGCUGCGGGAUCCGACACCAACAGUUUGCCCCCCAAGUGUUCCGAAGUGUAUGCUUCGGGAUACUUAUGAUACUGAAAAUCUUGUAAAAAAGGAAAUUCGACAUAAAUACCGUCAAUCUCGGGGUUUUUCCGUGUCCGAGGUGACGAUUCAAGAUCCUAGGGUUUUCAUUUUUUCCCGCCAACCGAGAGAUUCUUCUCGGGAUCGAGGCGACGCUUCGAGAUCCUAGGGUUUUCACUUUCCCGCCAAAACGCUCUAUAUAUCAGACUGGACCCUUCGGGUUCUGUACCUUGCCUUCAAUACCCACGAUCCACUUCUGUCCUCCGUUUAUUUAAAGGUAUUCCUCUCCUCCUUACUCCUAAAUUCUCUGACUGAUUUUGUUCUUCGCUUUGAGUUCUUGAAUCCGAUUAGAUUUUUAGAAGUAGAUUACUCUUAGCAUCUGCUUUCCGCUAGGUUUAGUCCAUAGAUCUGAAGAUCCUUUAGAUUUUCAACCGUUAGGUGUGAAGAAACUCCCGUCAAUUGCCGUUCCUCCGCCGUGCUUCUUCGAAUUCCGGUGGUUCUUCUCCGUCAUCUGAAGAAUACUCUCCGUCGAGAUCUUCAUCUCCUGGGUUUUCGGCGAAGAUCUUCAUCAGUGUUCUUGAGGGUUUCUCGAUUCAUUUCUCGCCAGAUCUUUUUUCACCUUUAGAAAUUUCAAUUUCGUGUUAUGGCUCCGAAGAAGAGUAAGAAGAUCCGAAAUGAAUCUUUCAUCCUCGAAGAUGAGUUCGGGAAAUACUUUUCCUCGGAACUUGAUGACAGGAAACUAGCUCUGAUGAAAGGCGGCUGCGGUAUCCCUCGACAAGUUAAAUUAAUAGCUCCGGAGCCCAGAGAGUCUCCUGAAUCUCCUCCCACCGAUCAUUGUUGUGCUUUCGAAAUAUUCUUUUCGGAAUGCGGCCUUUCCUUUCCUUUACCAGAGCUUCUGAUAGAACUUAUGCACGAACUGGGGAUCGCUUUGCCUCAGCUUUGCCCGAACGUUGUUCGGAUAGUACUAUGCCUCCAGACUCUUGCAGAGGAGAAUGGAUACCGAAUUACGCUAUCCGACAUUUUUCAUCUCUACACAAUGAAGAAGGGGCGAACCCCGGGAACCUUCUUCCUUAGCCCGAGGAGUCAUUUCAGGGUCUUCGGAGACUUUCCUGAAAAAGAUGAGAAGUGGAGGAAGUCGUAUUUCUUCUUUCCUGUUGACGAGUUCACCUACGGUCCAAAUGCAGGACUUUUUGUUCGGGACUGGACUCGUCGUCCUGGUUAGAUGGUUUUUAGGGAUUUAAUGCAUUUUAUUUCUUGACUUCGCUCCUCGGUGAAAUAAUCCUUUUUGUUUUUGCAGUUAAACUUCCGAAGACACCGGUCUCCCAUACCUUUGCAGAACAGUUCAUCAGGAUUUGUAAUCAGAGUGACCUCGCGUGGGAACUCUUUACUUGUGAACGAAUUCGGAACUCGUGCUGCCGUGUCCGCAAUCGCUCCGACCUUAUUACCUCUUCUCCUCCUCAUACUUCUCCCAUCAUCGACAGAAACAUGUCUCCAGUCUCCUACCGCGAAGAGAAGAGGCUCCAAAAAGAGAGGGAAAAGGUUAGGCAGGCAAGAGAAAAGGAGGAUAAGGCCAGAAUGGUGAAGGCCCUGGAAGAGGGAAAAUCCAGAUCCGCAUCUGGGAAAGGAAAGACUUCCGGCUCUGUUAUGCCGGCAUCUGAGUCGAAGACUUCUGAUCGUCAAGAUCAAGUAAAGGAGUCUGCUGGUAAAGAGAUAGUCCGAAUUUCGGACUCCCGUUCCUCCCGAUCAUCCCGGGAAAAAGAGUGUUCUGAUGGGGGACCAACUGCAACUUCCUCGAGGAAACGCAAGAGCGAGGACUCGGAUGUUCUUCCUCUACAUCGCAAAAGUCGUUCUCACACGAAUGUCGAUGCGAAUCCUCCCGAAGAUGCCGGGACUACUAGCCAAAGAGCUAAAGACACUUCUCAGGGGACUCCGCUGUCCGAACCUCCCGUUCAAGUCAUGGUCUUGCCCUCACGAGACUCAGAGAAUCGGGAAUCUGGUCGUCAAGAAAUCCCUAUUCCAAUAGGUAAUCCUAUAUUGUUUUUCGAUUCUUCUUGCAAAGCACGAAUCAUUCAUAUUGAUUCCCUAUAAAAUUUUCAAUCAGCCCCUCCGAAAUCUCCAGCUGAUUUCAUGAGGAACUUUACUCCGGCUGGGAUGAGGAUCCCGGCCUUCAGCGAGCUAAAAGAAAUCAACAGGGCGAAUUACUUUCGCUUCGCCGACAAACUUGGAGAGGUACUACCUUAAAUUUUUACUUCAGCUCGUUUCGCUUGAUCCAACGGUUUCUUUCCAUCUUGAUAGAUUAUGCUCGAAUACAACACCACAUUUUCUUGUCACGAGAGCCAACUCUUCCCCGUGAACGAGCUUGACAGCCUUAGGACUCGAGUUGCUGAACUCGAAGAAGAGAUCCGUCAAAUGAAAGAGAUGGAGGAAGAAAAUGCUAAAGCUGUGGCGAAGGCCAACGAUAUCCGGGAACGGAUGUUGAGUGCCGAAGCUCGCUGUAACCAUCUUGAUGUAGUUAACACGGAUCUGUCGGUGAAACUGAAGACCGGAAAGAACAUGUACCUUGAGGCAUGUGACAAGAUAACUUCGCUGGAGGCCGAAGUAAAGCGAAGUGAGGAAUGGUGCAAGGUUGCUGCGGAAAAACGGGACGAGGAGCUCGCAGCAGCAAGGAAGGAUGAGCGGAAGAAACUCCGAGAACACUACAGUGGCUUGAUCUCAAAGCAUGAGAUCUACCUGAAAGUCCUGAGUGAGAAUGAGUCAAUAAGCAACCGAGCUGCGGAGACUAGAGCAAAUCGGGAGCUUCUUGAGGAGCUUAAGAGAGGGGAAAUCCCGGAUAUUGAUGCCGAGCUGGAGUCUGUGAAGAAAGAUGAGGCGGAUGCGGAGGCCAAAGUUAACAAGAUAAACGCUCUCAAGCCUCGUCCUGAUGAGUUUGCUCAUCUCUUCGUUGCCACUCCUCCUGAAUCGGCACCUGAAGGUCCAUAUACCGAGGAGGAACUUGCAAUUGAUGAGUUCGGUUCGAACAAAGGUCUCAUAUCCGAGCUCAAAACAGCCCAGGGAUCGGAGGAACAGCGACAGCAGGAUCCCGAAGCCUAAAGAUCCUUGAUUUGAUUUCCGGGGUUGUUAUGGCUUAAACGGCCCUCCCUUUUGUUUUUAAUUAGAACCUUUUGCUUUUGCUUCCCGUUUCUUUUGGAUUUAAAAACUUAAGCUAUUUCCUUCCUGAAAAUCUUUUUGCUAACGUAAGUCGGACAAAAAGUUCAUAAAGGAAAGCGAAAUACAAUUGAAGUACUUCCGGUUUUCAAGAAACAUGACACGAGACUUGGACAUCAAAGUCCGAAUUGAACUGUGUUGAACCAGCUAUUCUCUUAAGUAAAUAUACUUAGAAAUUGUUUUAGAAGAAAAAUCUCCGUUUGUUUUUAGAGAUAAAGAUUCGUCUAUUCGAGCACUGAGCUCGGACGAAAAGAAUCUUAAAUAGUACGAAAAUAACUUUUUCGGUUUGCGAAGAGCGAAUUACGAGAUUACUCUCGGUUUUACGAGUUGCGAGAUAUAUCUCGGCUUUGAAUAUUUAGACUGUUUCAACAAUGUAAAUAUUUUAUUGAUUUAGAGACUGCACUGGAGGUCCGAGCUGCCUACGUACCCAAAGGUGGGGAUCAAGUCUGUCGUAGUUCGAUUUACAAUAGAAAUAAUGUGAUUAAAUAAAGUAUCUCUUCAAAUGAAUGGAAUUCCAAGCUCUCCGAACUGCUUUUCCGUCCAUAUUCUCCAGACGAUAAACUCCGUUGCGAACUACCUGAGUAAUUCGAUAAGGACCUUCCCAGUUAAUACCUAGCUUUCCAGCUCCAUCUUCGGUAGUAUUUUGCUGAACUUUGCGCAAUACCAAGGUUCCAACGUCGAAGUGUCGACUUCGGACAGUCGAAUUAUAGUAUCGAGCUGCGGCAUUCUUGUAAUUUUGCAUUCGAAUCAAAGCUCGAUCUCGCCGCUUCUCAAUGGUAUCAAUAACAUCAACCAUCAGUUCGAUAUUUGCUGCCUCGUUCUGCGGGUUAUUCAUUCGUCUCGGACUUGGCACAAAUAUUUCAGCAGGGAUUACAGCCUCCAUUCCAUAAACUAAUGAAAAUGGUGUUUCACCUGUUGCACGCCUAGGAGUAGUGCGAAUUGCCCAGAGAACACUUUGUAGUUCAUUAAACCAAGCUCCUUUAUGCGACUUAAGUUUUUUCUUCAAAGUGGACAAAACAGUUUUGUUCAUUGCUUCAGCUUGACCAUUACCCUGCGGGUAACGUGGCGUUGAUCGACUGAGUCUGAUUUGCCAUUCUUCGCAGAAAAAUUCGAAUUGCCGCGAAAUGAAUUGAGGUCCGUUAUCAGUAACGAUCUCGUAUGGCAAACCGUGCCUACAAAUGAUGUCUUGCCAAAUGAAUUUGCGAACUUGAACCUGAGUUAUGUUUACGUAGGCUGCCGCUUCCACCCACUUCGAGAAAUAAUCGGUAAGAACCAGGACAAAUUUCACCCCGCGCGUAGAAACAUGAAGGGGCCCAAUAAUAUCCAUAGACCAUUUCAUAAACGGAUAAGGCGAAGAGACUGAUGAUAAUGGCUCGGUGGGUUGGUGAAUUGAAGGUGCGUGCUUCUGGCACUGCUCGCACUUCCGCGCAUACUCCUCGCAAUCCGCGAUUAAUGUGGGCCAGAAAUAUCCGUACUUUCUUACUUUAUAGGCCAAAGAGCGACCUCCGGAGUGAUUUCCGCAUACUCCGUCAUGAAUCUCUUUUAUCACAGUACGGACCUGCUGUCCGAAAAUACAGAUCAUGUCAGGACCCGAGAUGCUUCUUCUGUAGAGGAUGUCACUCAAAAUGCAGAAACGAGCACUUUUAGCUUUCAACUUCCGUGCCUCCCACUUAUCCGCAGGAAGAGUACCAUUAAGGAUGUAUUCUCUGAUGGGAAUCCGCCAGUCUGCCCCCCAAUCCGGGAGCGGUAGCGCUGGUAGUGGUUCCGGAUUUAGCGGUGUUCCGAUUAGUGACUCUACUUCGGAGUUCGGUUCAGUUUCCUCGACCCCUUGUGGUUCUUGUUCCACACUCGUCCUUCUUUGCAUAGACCGUGUAGUCACGAAAUUCAGCUCUCCGGUGGCUAUACUGGGAUGUUCAAUUACUUCAACAGGGAUCAUUCGGCUCACUGUUACUUCGGAACUCGACGCCAAUGCCGCUAAGGCAUCCGCCGCUGAGUUCUCACUUCGCGGAAUUCUAGUGAGUUCGAAACUGAGAAACUUUCUACUUAAUUCCUGAAGCUGAGCGAGGUAAGCUUCCAUUCUACCAUCUUUUGCUUCAUAAUCACCGGAAAACUGAUUAGCAACGAGCUGCGAGUCGCAAAAUGCCCGUAAUUUUGUGACACCUAUCCCAACCGCUAGACGAAGUCCUGCAAGGAGAGACUCGUACUCCGCCUCGUUAUUCGACGCAUUAAAUGCGAGACGAAAUGACUGUUCAAUUACCUCACCAUACGGGGAUUGUAAUCGGAUACCGAUCCCGGAACCCUGUUUUGAGGACGCGCCGUCCACAUGAAGUAUCCAAGGUCCUUCGUUUUCUUUGGCCCCUUCGGAGACCAGAGGUAGUUCGAUCAGAAAAUCUGCGAGGACUUGAGAUUUCAUGCUUGUCCUUGUUCGGAACUGAAUAUCAUACUCGCUCAGCUCAAUUGCCCAUUUCACCAAUCUUCCUGACUGACUCGGGCUAUGCAAAAUUGCUCUUAAAGGUUGCGAAGUUAGGAUUAUAACCGUAUGAGACUGAAAAUAUGGUCUUAAUUUCCGAGCUGAGGUAAUUACUGCCAGAGCUAGCUUUUCCAUCAUCGGAUAUCUCGAUUCCGCUCCCGAAAAAGACUUGCUUACAUAGAAAAUCGGUCUUUCAUCGUUCCGAUCCAAUCGUACUAAUACUCCACUUACUGCGCUCUUAGAAACCGAAACGUACAAGAAAAGCUCUUCUCCGAACUCAGGUUUCGCUAACACAGGAGGUGUGGACAAAUAAUCUUUUAGAUCUUCGAAAGCCUUUUCGCAAUUCUCAUCCCAGAUGAAAUUUUUGUUCGCUUUUCGGAGCAGAUUAUAGAAUGGAAGGCAUCUAUCAGUUGACCUCGAGAUGAAUCGGUUCAAAGCUGCUAUCCGCCCCGUAAGUCGCUGAACUUCCCGAACAUUUCGGGGCGAAGUCAUCGCCAGAAAAGCGUUCAACUGUCGCGGAUUAGCUUCGAUUCCUCGCUCAGUGACAAUACACUUCCAUCGUUUUACCGAGGAGAUCUUUGAACAUCAUAUUCACCAACCGUUGAUAAGUGGCUCCGGCAUUUUUCAACCCGAAUGGCAUGACUAUAUAGCAGUAAGUUCCACGGUCCGUGAUGAAAGCUGUCUUUUCCUGGUCUUCCGGAUUCAUCAAAAUCUGAUUAUACCCAGAAAAAGCAUCCAUAAAGGACAUCAUUUCGUGGCCCGUUGUUGACUCCACAAGUCGGUCGAUGUGCGGAAGUGGGAAACUAUCUUUGGGACAGGCUUUAUUAAGAUCGGUAAAAUCUACGCAAACCCGCCAUUUCCCAUUUUUCUUCUUGACUACUACUGGGUUUGCCAACCAGUCCGGAUAUUUGACCUCGCGAAUCAAACCGGCAUCAAGCAGGCGCUGUACUUCGGCAUUUACAGCCUCGGCUCGGUCUGGACCAAGUUUCCUGCGUUUUUGUUUUACUGGUUUGAAAGUCGGGUCAAUGUUGAGCUCGUGCGAAAUGACCUUUGUAUCGAUCCCAGUCAUCUCCUCGAUUUUCCAGGCGAAAGUUUUUUGAUUCCUUUUCAGGAAAGUUAUCAGUUCAACUCGGAGUGUUUCGCUUAAUCCCGCUCCUAUGCUAACAGUUUGAUCCGGAUAUUCUUCAUUAACUACCACUGCCUCCACGAGGUCACCGCUUAUUUUUUUGACGGGAUUUGCAGGCACCUCGAACUGUGGUUGCUAUUGAAUUUUAAGCUUAUGACUGGACAUGUAACACAUCCUCGCAGCUCGUUGACUUCCCAGGAUUUGCUUUACUCCGGAUUUCGUAGGGAAUUUCAAGCAUUGAUGAUACGUUGAAGGUACUGCUUUCAUCUCAUAAAUCCAGGGUGUUCCCAAGAUAACAUUGUAAGCCGCCGGACGAUCGAACACCGUGAACUCGAUCAUUUUGACUAUGCCUUCUGCGCAUACCGGGAGCACAAUCGUUCCUAAUGACAUUGAAGUUUCGCUAGUAAAGGAAACCAAAGGUGAUGGUGGCCCCCUUAUAUCUCGCUUCGAUAUCCCCAUUCUUGUCAAAGUAUCGAGGAAGAUUAAAUCCACCGAACUCCCAGUAUCAAUGAGAACCCGAGAUACUUCGCAAUGCGCAAUAUCGAGUGUUAUGACCAAAGCGUCAUCGUGUGGUUUGUCAAGUUGACUGGUUUCGCUUUCGGAGAAUGUUACUUCGGGUAACUGUUCCUCAGUAAGCCUGGCCUUCUUGAUAAUCGGGGGGGUUGCCCUCCUUUCGUGUUGCUUGAUUGCACUAAUGGAAUCCCGAAAAAGCUUAGAUCCCCCCAUAAUCACCUGGAUUUGCUUCUUCGGUCCUUUAAAAACAUCAGGGGACUGGAUUCUUUUGGUUUUCUUGCUGGGAGGAGACGGUUCCUCUGUUGCUACUGUAUGUCCCGACGGAUGAGUUGGUUCGAGCUCCGAAACAUCGAUUUCGGCUAUUUCCCCGGAUGCGAACUUGGCGGCCAGUAACCUCCCUAGAGCCUUGCAAUUUUUCGUAGCAUGCCCGUUGACUUUGUGGAUCUCGCAGUAGGCGUUUGGGUCACGAAUCCACUUGUUACUUGGGAAAGCGCUGUUUUUGCUCUUAGGUGAGAAAGAUUGCUUCGCAGGUGAAAUCUUCGGUGAACCUUUUGGCUCCUCCCGAUCCACUGAGAAUGUGCCAGCUCCAGGUUUCCGAGCUUCAGGUUGAGCGGGUUUCUUCUGAGGAAGAAGCUGAGCAGGUUUCGGAGCUGCCUUGAACUUUUUAGCUAGAGCGGCCCGCUCUUCUUCCGCGUUUAUCCAGUUCGUUGCCCGAUGGAGGGCAUCUUGAAUAGUGGCCGGUCGGUUAACAACCAACUCUUCUCGGAAACGAGAUUCGUGCCAUAGACCGUUCUUGAGUGCAGCAAUAGCUGCGGAAUCAGACAAAUUUGGGAUUUGGACCAUAAUCUCUUUAAAGGAGGUGAUGUAAGUUCGGAGCGGAUCUCCGGCUCCCUGUGAGAGGUUCCACAGCUGGGCGUCAGUCACAUCGCUCUUGAUGAAGUAUCCGUACUGCAUGAUGAAAGCAGUGGAUAGUUGCUUGAAGCUAUCGAUCGAUCCUUCUUCUAGUUGAGUAAACCAGGUUAAAGCCGGCCCGGAUAGGUUCUCGGCAAAGAGCUUGCAUAAGCCUGCGUCUACUUCGUUUGGCUCCAAAUGUACCCGACCUGCGGUCACCUGAAAAGAUGCUAAAAAUUCUUUGGGAUCUCCCUUACCAUCGUAUCCCGGAAGUUUGACCUUCCUUUGGUCUCGAAUGCGCAGGGCUACAAUUCGUGGAGUAAAAGGAGUCCUUCUCGUCUCCUCGAUCACUCUAUCGACUUCGGGAGCCGAACUGGUGGCUUGAUGAACCUUCGAACUCAUUUCCCGAAUCUGAUUUUGUAAGCUCUAGAUUUCCGGGUUGACCGGAAGGUGAGGUGGAUGGGACUCGGUUUGAGGAUGAUGCGGAGUGCUGCCAAGAUGAACGGGGAGAGGUGUUCUGGCUGGAACAAAAGGACCGCCGGCCGAAUUUGGAGGUGCUUGAGCAUGACGGGACCCAUCUCCAGGUUCGCUCUGAGAGCCAAGAGGCAAAGAAGACGGGAGUACGUUGCUCGGGGACACGAGUCUAGGAUCCUGAACCUCCGAAACGUUCGGACCAUGAAAGUCCAAAUGGCCACGAGGUCCGCUGGUCCGCAAAGUUCCUGCAAGAAUUGUAUCAACCCGAUCCGCAUAAGCAUUAUGGGCUGACCUGAUUUCGGAACAACUCGCUGUAAGGACUGCGAUUUGGCUGCCGCUUUGCUCUUCAAAAGCUGAGAGCUUCUCAGACAACGCAGUGGUGGCGAGCUGCUGCUGGUCAGUCUUUUCGGACAGAUCUUUUAGCAACUUCUUGAUCUCGUCAAGGACUGAAGCCGGAUCCGCUAUGUCUGACAUCUUUCCGAUUGAUAUUCUGGAGUGAAAGGCUAGAAAUCCCCUCUCUCUAGCGCCAAAUUGUGGAUGUCGGAAUCCGCAAUACGAAUUUUAAGAUAUAACUCGGGCCGUCUAGCCUUGCUAAUUCGAACAGCAAUCGUCAAAGAGAAAAUAAAAGAGUGAAGUAUGUGUAUUCGUUUAUUGCUCAAGAAAAAUCCCCCCCUCUACAAUGGUUUUCGUUUCCUAUUUAUAAUUACAAGAUUUGAAACCGAAAUCGCUCGUCAAGCCGCAGAUCUCGCCUUCUUUACUGUUUCUGUUUCGAAUCUUCCCGAUCUGGCAGAUCCCGUGCAAUCCGCCUUCAUUUAACUCGCGGGAUCCGACGUUUUACUCGAACUGGGCUUGAACUUAUCGGGCCGCUCUCUUCGUCCCCUGGACUGGGCCGACGGCCCACUUCGUCUUAUUGAUUCACUAUCUUUCCGGGCCGGAUCCGAGCUGCGGGAUCCGACACCAACAGGUAUCGCAUCAUUCACCUCGGGAUAUCCAUCUAAUCGAUCUAGUAUACCCGAGCCCUUCGCCUCGGGAAUACCUUUAACAAGUAGUCUCGAGUACCCGAGCCCUUCGCCUCGGGGAUACUCGAAACUAGACGUUUCAAGCGCGUCGGGUACGAACCAAAUAAAAACAUCGCGUCCGCGUCUAAGGCGCGUCGGGCACACACAAAUCAAAUAAGAUACUUCGCAUCCGCACCAAUCUCGGGAAUCAGCGAAAGGACCUUUCCACUUCUCGAGAAGGAAUCCCAACCGUCACACGCCAAGAGAAGAUGAAACGACAGAGUAAUUCAAAUCGCUAAAGGGACCGAACUAUUCAAAGUAAACGGCUCGGCCUAAUUGUCACAGCUCGUCACGCUCGGUUCUCCAAACUAACGAGCUGGGGGGCUAACUGUUGGGGUCGGAUUCCAUCCUUUAGCGCCAAGCCAGACUUAGAAUACUUCGGGAAUCUUUCGGCGAUCGCCUCGGGGUAUCGCAUCAUUCACCUCGGGAUAUCCAUCUAAUCGAUCUAGUAUACCCGAGCCCUUCGCCUCGGGAAUACCUUUAACAAGUAGUCUCGAGUACCCGAGCCCUUCGCCUCGGGGAUACUCGAAACUAGACGUUUCAAGCACCCGAGCCCUUCGCCUCGGGGAUGUUUGAACGUUACGUCUCAAGCACCCGAGCCCUUCGCCUCGGGAGUUUCUGAGCCCAUCGCCUCGGGGACACCUAAAUAAGCCAUCCCAGUCCUUCCUGUACCCGAGCCCAAUUGCCUCGGGGUACCCGAGCCCAUCGCCUCGGGGAUAUCCUAAACAAGACAUCAGAAGCACCCGAGCCCAAUUGCCUCGGGGGUACCCGAGCCUGGUCGCCUCGGGAGUAUCUGAGCCCAUCGCCUCGGGGACACCCGAAGAAGCCAUCCUAGAGUGCCCAAGCCAGUCCUUCCUGUGUACCCGAGCCGGUUGCACAAGCUCCCCGAGGCGAAGUCUUCAUCGCCCGAAGCAAAGACUUAGGAAAUAUUCUUCUUUAAAGGUAUCAUUUCCAAGCACAUUAUCAUUUCCAAAAAAGAAGGAUCAUUUCCGAUAAAAUCGGAAAUGAUAAGGAAGAAUCACAAAGGAUCAACUCAAAUCAGGAAAUCUUCCAAAAGACUCCGAAGAAUAAGGAAACUAUCCUAAUCCGCGAUAUUCUAAGCCGACUUCAAGAUAAAUGGAAAUCUUCUGAGAAUAUCGCUGGAGAGGCGGUUCAUCACCCCUAUAUAAAGAGACUCAAGGCUCUCGCAGAAGGGAGGCAAUAUCGCUCUAGAAUUUACACUACGCAAAGCCCUCACAGCACAAACAUCUUUUUUCUUUUACGAUCAAACUCUUGUACGAUCAAAGUCAUCUUUUUCUUAAUAAAAUCAAGAACACCAUCUUUGGUAUCAAUUGAUUCUGUCGUUCUUUGAGAAUUCUCGCAAAUCGUAUCCCUAAAUUAAAACCCUAGACAAAUCUCGAUUGUGUUAGUUUCGACUUCCACAGUUUGGCGCCGUCCGUGGGGAUACUUUAGAAUUCUCUUACCCUAAGACGCAGAACUCGAUUACUGAAAGGACGAUGAACGAAGACGGUCGUCAGACGCCACCAGCUAGAGGAGGAAUCCCGAACCCUCCGAACCCUCAGAAUCCUCAAGCCGAUCCGACGAUCCUAGCGACUCUAGCUGAACUGAAAGAUCUGAUGGUUAAAUUCCAGAAGAAAACUGACGACCAAGAGAAAGCCAACCAAACCUUGGCGCAGCGAGUCGACGAAAUCGCAACACGCGGGCAACAAAAAACCACACGUUUCCAAACUCGGCCACCACGAGCUCGGAGGGACUUGCCUGGCAUCAACCCAACGAGACUCACGUUCACGACACCAACCGGCAACACCAGAGUCGCAACCCGAGCUGAUCCUGCCAGACGCGAGAACCGAGAUGAUCCCACCGAGCCAGACGCAGUGGACUUGACAAACGAGCCAGAUGAUCUUCAGGAUGAGCGUACCCGAGCCGGAGCUAAUUCCGCCGAGCGAACGGACCUUACUGAUGACGAAGAAACUGAAGAAAACAUAAGGUGGGCCGAAGAAUCCGAAAGGGAAGACGAGCUAAGCAAGAUCCGAGCCUCCCUAGCCAAGGCGGAAGCUGAUAUGAAGCUCGUCAAAACCCAGAUACAUAGCGUCUCAUCCUCCGCACCGAACAUCGACCGAAUUUUGGAGGAAUCCCGGAAUACGCCUUUCACCAAAAGAAUUUCCGAAACGACGAUGUCCAAUCUGGGGAAGUUCAAAAUCGAUUCUUACAACGGAUCAACCGACCCGAAAUGCCACAUUAAAUCGUUCGUGAUAUCUGUGGCCCGAGCCAGGUUCAAGCCCGGCGAAAAGGAUGCAGGUCUAUGCUUACUGUUCGUGGAACACCUCAAAGGACCUGCAUUAGAGUGGUUUUCAAGAUUGGAACGAAACUCGAUCGAUAGUUUCGACGAGCUGUCGACAUUGUUCCUCAAACAAUACUCCGUGCUCAUCGACCCCGGAACUUCCGACGCGGAUCUGUGGUCUUUAUCUCAACAACCCACCGAGCCGUUAAGAGAUUUCCUCAAGACCUUCAAAUCGACGCUAGCCAAGGUCGAAGGAAUUACCGACGUAGCAGCUCUCUCAGCUUUGAAGAAAGCUAUCUGGUACAAGUCAGAAUUCAGGAAAGAGUUGAACCUGUCUAAACCGACAACAAUUCGUGACGCGCUGCAUCGAGCCUCGGAUUUCGUCGCCCACGAAGAAGAAAUGGCGCUACUAGCAAAGAGGCACGAGCCGACGAAACAGGCGUCCCGAGCCGAGAAAACCGAGAAAACUGAGAAAGCCCAAGCAGCACCUCCAGUCCAGAAGAAGACGCGUGAGAGCAGUACGUAUACGCAUCACGAAGGGCGCAAUUUCUCAGGAUACCAUAGCUACCAAAUCGACACACCCCGAGGCCGUGGCCGCGGCAGAGGCCGAGGCCGCGGGCGAGGAAGAGAGUCCUUCACCUGGACAAGGGAUCAGCCACCGAACAAUGAUCAGGAAUAUUGCGAACACCACAAAAUUUUCGGCCAUCAUACCUCGAGAUGCCGAAGCCUCGGAGCCAAGUUAGCAACCAAAUUCCUAGCUGGAGAGCUCGGGACAAACGUUACUCUCAAAGACCUCGAGCCAGAACCGGAGCCCGAGCAGACCAAUCCAGGGAGAGACCCCGAACCAAGGAACCAGGAGUCUCAGAAAAGAACCCGGGGGUCGGAAGACGAAGACCGAGAUGGUACGCGACAGAAGGUUCUUACCAUAAUGGGUGGAUCACCUUACUGUCCUGACACCGUAGCGGCAAUCAAAGCUUAUCAACGCCGAGCCGAGACGCCUAGCAACUGGACAAGACGCUUCGAUCGACCUAACGACGUGAUCACAUUCGAAGAAAGCGAGACAAACGGGCUCGACAUGCCUCAUAACGAUCCAAUCGUCGUCACAUUAGCGAUAGGAGACCACGAUAUUUAUCGAGUGUUGAUUGACACCGGCAGCACCAUUGACGUGAUCUUUCGCGAAACGCUCCAACGAAUGAGCAUCGACAUGUCACAGGUGGUUCCGACCCCGAGGCCUGUCCUCGGAUUUUCAGGGGAAACUUUGAUGACGCUUGGAACCAUCCAACUACCAGUCCGAGCCGGCGGGGUAACAAAGAUAGUCAACAUCUCAGUCACCGACCGACCUACCAUCUACAACGUCAUAAUGGGGACUCCGUGGUUAAAUCUAAUGCGAGCUGUCGCAUCAACAUAUCAUCUGUGUGUCAAAUUCCCGACCCCUAAUGGCGUGAAAACAAUAUGGGGCAGUCAGAAAAAUUCUCGGAUGUGUUUCAUGGCAGCACACAAACUCCGAAACCCUGUCACCGAAGCGAAGGCUGAAACCAAUCACAAGAAAUCAAAACUUGGCCGGAAUGAAGAGAAGGCUAUAUCUAAACAGUUAUAACAAUUACAGAUCGAGGAGGCGCGCGAGGAGAAGAAGCCUACCUCGGAUCCUGUAAUCUCCAUUGGCCUCGACGAUGAACGGCCCGAACGAUGCGUGGAAAUUGGCAGCGACUUAAGCGAGGAAAUCAAGACCGAGCUCAUCUCAUUCCUCAAAGAGAACAUCAACACCUUCGCCUGGUCAGCUGAAGAUCUACCUGGAGUGAGCAUCGACAUAAUCUGCCACGAGCUGAAUGUUGAUCCAUCUUUCAAGCCCAUCAAGCAGAAGCGAAGAAAAUUGGGCCGGGAUCGCGCAGAUGCCGUGAACGCCGAAGUUGAAAAACUCCUGAAGAUCGGCUCGAUCUCUGAAGCAAGGUAUCCGGACUGGUUAGCAAAUCCUGUCGUGGUUAAAAAGAAGAACGGCAAGUGGAGAGUUUGCGUCGAUUUCACCGAUCUGAACAAAGCUUGCCCUAAAGACAGUUUUCCGCUCCCACAUAUCGAUCGUUUAGUGGAAGCAACCGCGGGAAAUAAGUUGCUAUCAUUCAUGGACGCUUUCGCAGGAUACAAUCAGAUUCUCAUGCACCCCGACGAUCGCGAGAAGACAGCAUUCAUCACAGACCUAGGUAUCUACUGUUACAAAGUCAUGCCCUUCGGACUCAAGAAUGCUGGCGCGACGUAUCAACGGCUCGUCAACAGGAUGUUCUCCGAGCAGUUCGGGAAGACGAUGGAAGUUUAUAUCGACGACAUGUUAGUCAAAUCCCUUGAGGAAAGCGAUCACAUAGCCCAUCUGCGCGACUGUUUUCGCCAGCUCAACAAGCAUAACAUGAAGCUCAAUCCGGCAAAAUGUCGUUUCGCUGUAAAGUCGGGAGAAUUCUUGGGGUACCUCGUAACUCACCGAGGCAUCGAAGCAAACCCGAAGCAAAUCGAUGCUCUACUGAACAUGCCCUCACCACAGAACAAGCGCGAAGUCCAACGUCUCACCGGGAGAGUCGCGGCCUUGAACCGAUUCAUCUCGCGGUCCACUGACAAAUGCCUGGCUUUCUACGAUACCCUGCGCGGGAACAAGAAAUUCGAAUGGACCGAUCGCUGCGAAGAAGCUUUCCAGGAACUGAAGAAGUAUUUGGCUAACCCACCGGUGUUAGCGAAACCAGUCCCGGGCGAGCCGUUAUUCCUGUACAUCGCAGUCUCUGAUACGGCUAUAAGUGGAGUCAUAGUCAGGGAAGAUAGAGGGGAGCAGAAGCCGAUAUUUUACGUCUCGCAAACUUUCACCGACGCGGAAACACGCUACCCGCAAACUGAAAAGCUCGCCCUCGCCGUAGUAAUGUCAGCUCGGAAGCUACGGCCAUAUUUCCAGUCUCACUCGAUUGUCGUCAUGGCGCCCGUAUCACUCCGAACCAUCUUGCACAGUCCGAGCCAAUCAGGACGCCUAGCCAAGUGGGCAGUAGAACUCAGCGAGUAUGACAUCGAAUACAGAAACAAAACAUGCGCGAAAUCUCAAGUCCUGGCCGAUUUCAUCAUCGAACUGCCAACAGAGAACGCCCGAGAAGAAUCACCCAAUGCCGUUUGGAUCCUCCACGUCGACGGCUCAUCCUCAAAACAAGGUUCUGGCGUCGGAAUCCGCCUCGCAUCACCAGGGGGUGAAAUCCUUGAACAAUCCUUUCGGCUAAAUUUCGACGCGACUAACAACGUGGCUGAGUACGAAGCACUGAUAGCAGGACUUAAGCUGGCUCGGGGACUUAAGAUCAACAAGCUGCGAGCCUUUUGCGACUCCCAGCUCGUGGCAAAUCAAUUCAACGGAGAAUACGCGGCUCGCGACGAACGAAUGGAAGCGUAUCUUGCUCUCACGCAAAAUUUGGCGAAACAGUUCGGAGAGUUUGAGUUAACCAGAAUCCCACGAGGUGAGAACAUAUCGGCCGAUGCCUUAGCAGCUCUAGCUUCAACCUCCGACCCAAAUCUGAAGAGGAUCAUACCGGUUGAGUUCAUCGAAAAGCCGAGCAUAGAAGAUAAUAGCAAAGAUCAAGUUCUAACAGCUCGGGAAACGGAAGAACCGGAAGAAAUGGACAUCGAACAGCUGGACCAGCAAACUACAGACGCAACCGAGUCCGAAUACGGAAGCGACGCCAAAUGGAUCGGAGCCAUCCGAAGCUACAUCGCCGACGGAGAAGUUCCUACCGAAAAAUGGGCAGCUCGGAAACUUAAGGCCAAAGCGGCUCGAUAUACUUUGAUCGACGAAGAACUCUUUAAAUGGCGAUUUUCUGGUCCUCUCCUUAUCUGUGUCGAAGGAAACGAAGCUCGGAGAGUCAUGGAAGAAAUUCACGGUGGAUCUUGUGGAAACCAUUCUGGCGGAAGAGCUCUGGCCAUAAAGAUCAAACGCCACGGAUAUUUUUGGCCGACGAUGGUCAAAGACUGCGAGAAAUUUUCUCAACGGUGUGAUAAAUGCCAGAGGCACGCACCAACCAUUCAUCAACCCGCUGAGCUCCUCUCUUCCAUCACUUCGCCUUAUCCGUUCAUGCGAUGGUCCAUGGACAUCAUCGGACCUCUACACAACUCCAAACAGAAGAAACUCGUCCUCGUACUAACAGACUACUUCUCCAAAUGGAUCGAGGCGGACUCCUACGCCAGCAUCAAAGACGCGCAGGUCGAAAACUUCGUCUAGAAGAACAUCAUAUGCCGCCACGGGAUACCUUAUGAGAUCGUUACAGACAACGGAUCGCAGUUUAUUUCGGCUCGGUUCGAAGGAUUCUGCAAGAAAUGGGGAAUUCGCCUCAGCAAGUCUACGCCCCGGUAUCCUCAGGGGAACGGACAGGCCGAAGCGGCAAACAAGACGAUUCUCGACGGAAUAAAAAAGCGCCUCGACGCAAAGAAAGGCCGCUGGGCCGACGAAUUGGAAGGAGUACUCUGGUCACACAGAACCACGCCACGGCGAGCCACGGGAGAAACGCCUUUCGCCCUUGUCUACGGCACGGAGUGUGUGAUUCCCACCGAAGCCGAGAUCCCGGGACUGAGAAAACGUUUUCUCCCCGAGCAGGAGAAUUCCAACACUCAGAUGAUGCUGGACGAGCUGGACUUAAUUGACGAAAGAAGAGAUUCGGCUUUGGUCCGAAUGCAGAACUAUCAGAAUGCAACAGCUCGGUACUACAACUCUCACGUUAAAUAUCGCCGUUUCCACGAAGGAGAUCUCGUACUGCGCAAAGUUUUUCAGAAUACCGCCGAGCAGAACGCAGGCAAACUCGGCGCGAAUUGGGAGGGACCUUAUACGAUCGCAAAGGUAAUCCGUCCCGGCGUCUACGAACUCAUCAACAUGAACGGCAAAGCGGUACCUAGAUCCUGGAACGCAAUGCAUCUAAGGAAAUACUACCGCUAAAAACCUAAGGUACGCAUGUACUCGAACUACGGGGUGGCUUGAUCCCUGAAAAGGGUACGUAGGCAGCUCGUCCUCGGACGAGUUCAGCUACCCCCCCUAAUUAAAAAAGGGGGGGAGUGGAUCCGUAUAUCCAUACUCCCACUCAAACUUUAUCAAUUAUACGUUUCCUAUACUCCUAUUCAAAUUUUAUCAAACUAUAUUUCUAAGUAUACACUUCGGGUUUUUAUCCGAUCAAAUCCACCUCGGUCUUUACCCCGAAACUCGCCUCGGGAAAUCAACACGGUCUAAACUCCGUUCGGUUCGUUUGGGCGAUGGCCACGCCCACGAAUUAAAUUCAUCUACACCUCUACGGUUACAGCGCGCUAUAUAAGCAUCCAAGACAAUUCGGAAGGAGAUAUCCUGCCAUAAAGAAGUUGUCUUCAGAAAACCCAGUUCACUUCUACACUGGUACCCCAGUUCGCUUCUAAGCACUGGCAUCGACUAUAUCAGCUCGGGUCGCAACCGACAAAGAUUAGUCCUACUUACCAAAACCCGGUUUACUUAACACUGGUACACGAUUUGCUUGGUUCGAAAAGUGGUUCGAAAAGUUAAACUCUGAGACUAGAAAUUUAUCGAGAACAAAAUAUAUUCAUUAUCAAUAGUGGAUAAAGCCGUCCAGGCAUCAAGUCUUACAAAAAUCCAGAAUUAAAAGAAGGAAUGCGCCACGGAUCUACUCAUCCCGCUCCUCCGGAACAUGUGCGACUUCGGAGCUCAGAUUCGUGCCGGCCUGAUCCCUAAUACCAAUUCCCGCGGCAACCCCUUCGAUUGACCUGUUUCCGAAAUUAUCUUCAACAGAAUCCGGGGAAGCCGGAGGAAGCCUCAGAUCCUCUCGCAGCUCGGUUCCGAUCCGCACAAACUCCUCCUCAGCAUCUCCAUACUCAGCUUUCCACUGGAGAACUUCCUGCUUUUCAUCUUCGACAUUUUUGCCGCCUUCAAGGUCGGCAAUCAAUUCAGCGUUAGCUCUGGCCUGGACUAGGAACAUGUAGCGCUCAGACGCCUUCCCAUACAGAUCCAUCUUCGCCUCUAUCGCCUCGACCUUCUUGGCAAACUCCUUCCUAGCCGUUUUCCUCUCCCGACGCACUUCCUUCUCCCGAAGCGACUUCUCCUCGGUGAAUAGUCGGUUCAAGCGUUCGAUUUCGGCUUCCAUCUUCCGACGGAGGCGAAGACCGUCCUCAGCCGCCUUCAAUCGCUCGACCUUCUCUGCCUUAGCCAACGCUUCGGCUUCCCGCCUGGCCUCAUCUGCCUCGGCAACCUUAGUCGCCGCCUCGGCAAUCUUGGCCUCUGCCUCGGCAUUCUUGGCAUCCGCCUCGAUUAUCUUGGCAUCGGCCCCAGCAAUUCUGACCUCCGCCUCGGCUCGGGAAGUCUCGUAUCUACGGUUUGAAGAGUCGUAGGCUCGAACCAUGCGGUUCAUCGAAUGGAAAGCCUGGAACACAAAAACUAAAGUUAGUGCUAAGAAUUUUAAAAGGCUUAGGAUGCUUCGGAGAUAAACCAAUACCUUCAGGAAUCCCGCAGCAGUUUCGCGGUAAUUUUCAGCCUCCAGCAAGGCCUCGGGCGCAGCUAGGGUCGGACCCGAGCAAGAAGCGAUAAGAUUAGCAGAUGCCGUCUUAUCCUUGUAGAUAGGAGCCUCGUUGCGACUCCUCUUCUCUUUCUUACGACCUCCCGAGCUAUCACCUCGGGGCCUCUUGACCUUCGCCUUAGCUUUCGCCUCGGCACAAAGGGCGACAAUAGCCGAGGUCCCUACCACCUCGGGGACAUCGGUCGGAGGAGAGAUAUGCCCGGCCGCCUCGGGCACGAUCGAAACCAUAUCCCGAGCUUCAUUGGCCGCCUCGACACCGACGACUUCAAGACUGGCCUCGGGAGGAGUAGGAGGUCUGAAGUUCGCCUCCAAAACAGCUUUUUCCUUAGCCGCCUUCUUUUCGGCAGCUUUCCUGGCUCGCAGAGACUGCGCGGCGCCUUGCAUCUCAAUAAGAUGAUCUAGGCGAUGAUCGGACGAUUCGGAAGAGGAUUGACAUGGAGCUCCGUGCAGUUGACGCAGGGCUCUCUCAAUUCUUUCUUGGGAGAAAUGUUUCGUCCAAUCGCACUUCCGAGCUAUCAGUUCGUCGUGCAGAUCUAAAAAGCCUUCGGGGACGUCUUCGAGAAAUGACGGAUUCCGAUCUGCGAAAACAAGAAAACAUUUAGUGAAGUUCAAAGCAAAACAAAACAGCAAGUAUGGCUUCGGGCAUAGUACCAAUCGUUCUCCACUUUCCAACAACUUUCCCUAAGUAGUCCUCGUGGACACUAUACUCAUUCAAGGCUACGUAGAAAAAAUGGUCAGUGUACUUCUCGUCCUUGCUCGGGAAACCACCGAUAACCCUUCUAUUUAGCCUCGGGGAUAUGUAAAAUCUCUCGACGGGGCCAGGUAUGCGCCGAAUCUCUAGGAGAUUCCUUAAGUGGCUAAGGCCGACAAGGUUGACCGUCUCAAUACUCCGGACUAGAAUCCCUAUGAGAUGGCGCAAGCCUCGGGUUGUGAUCUGAGACAGAGCGAUCUUGUACGACCAUAGAAACGCCAACACAGGCCUCGGAAUCGGAACCCAUAGGUAGCAAUGGUAGAAGAACCCCUCGUAAAGGGUGAAAAACCCCUCGGGUGGAUCAUCCGCUCGCUCAUUCGAAGUUGGAAGUCUUAGUUCAAUCCCCUCACUAAAACCAAAUCGAGCCUUGAGAUCCCGAAGCGAAUCCUCCGUGCAUAAAGUGGAACCCGGAGGAUCAGGUUUCCUAGCUUUUUUGGCUCGUUUCCUCUUCUGUUGACUCUUGGCUGCUUGGAUUUUAGCUUGGAGCAACCUAGCCGCCUCGUCAGAAUCAUAGUGAAUCUCCUCGGCCUUAACAGGGAGUAGAGGCGCCUCGGGGGCAUUUCGCCAGCAUGAAACCCCAGCUUCAUCAGCUGCCGGUGGAUGGACUUUCCUCCUGCUUAAAGUCGCCUCGGGAUCAUCAGGCAAAUCCUGAUCCCGAGCCACAUCUGCAACCGUAUCUUCCCGAGCAACGAAACGGCUCGGGUCUUCUUCCCGUGAAGCCGACUCGGCAUCACUACCACGGUACAACACGAUCUGGUUGUCCGUGAUAUCCACCUCGGGGUCGCUCGAGGAACUCCAGACCAUCUCUCUUGUAGGCGGGGAGAAGAGUGUCACCUCGGGGCGAAUCGCUGGAAUCAGAUAGAGACAUUUUCUAGCUCGGGAGAUUGGAGAAGUUUAUUGGAGGAACAAAGCCUGACAGAUCGGAGAAAUCAACCUAGAUCUAAUGACGGCGGCGCUACGACGGAAGUAUAACGGAAAAGUAGAGAAAAUGCAAAAAACUCAAGAUCAGAGAAAGAAGAGAACGAACCUCGAAAAAUUUCCUUUGCAGUUGCGAAAUGAGAGAAUGAGUCCGAGACUUAACAUUUAUAGGGACUUAAGGCGCGUCGGGUACGAACCAAAUAAAAACAUCGCGUCCGCGUCUAAGGCGCGUCGGGCACACACAAAUCAAAUAAGAUACUUCGCAUCCGCACCAAUCUCGGGAAUCAGCGAAAGGACCUUUCCACUUCUCGAGAAGGAAUCCCAACCGUCACACGCCAAGAGAAGAUGAAACGACAGAGUAAUUCAAAUCGCUAAAGGGACCGAACUAUUCAAAGUAAACGGCUCGGCCUAAUUGUCACAGCUCGUCACGCUCGGUUCUCCAAACUAACGAGCUGGGGGGCUAACUGUUGGGGUCGGAUUCCAUCCUUUAGCGCCAAGCCAGACUUAGAAUACUUCGGGAAUCUUUCGGCGAUCGCCUCGGGGUAUCGCAUCAUUCACCUCGGGAUAUCCAUCUAAUCGAUCUAGUAUACCCGAGCCCUUCGCCUCGGGAAUACCUUUAACAAGUAGUCUCGAGUACCCGAGCCCUUCGCCUCGGGGAUACUCGAAACUAGACGUUUCAAGCACCCGAGCCCUUCGCCUCGGGGAUGUUUGAACGUUACGUCUCAAGCACCCGAGCCCUUCGCCUCGGGAGUUUCUGAGCCCAUCGCCUCGGGGACACCUAAAUAAGCCAUCCCAGUCCUUCCUGUACCCGAGCCCAAUUGCCUCGGGGUACCCGAGCCCAUCGCCUCGGGGAUAUCCUGAACAAGACAUCAGAAGCACCCGAGCCCAAUUGCCUCGGGGGUACCCGAGCCUGGUCGCCUCGGGAGUAUCUGAGCCCAUCGCCUCGGGGACACCCGAAGAAGCCAUCCUAGAGUGCCCAAGCCAGUCCUUCCUGUGUACCCGAGCCGGUUGCACAAGCUCCCCGAGGCGAAGUCUUCAUCGCCCGAAGCAAAGACUUAGUAAAUAUUCUUCUUUAAAGGUAUCAUUUCCAAGCACAUUAUCAUUUCCAAAAAAGAAGGAUCAUUUCCGAUAAAAUCGGAAAUGAUAAGGAAGAAUCACAAAGGAUCAACUCAAAUCAGGAAAUCUUCCAAAAGACUCCGAAGAAUAAGGAAACUAUCCUAAUCCGCGAUAUUCUAAGCCGACUUCAAGAUAAAUGGAAAUCUUCCGAGAAUAUCGCUGGAGAGGCGGUUCAUCACCCCUAUAUAAAGAGACUCAAGGCUCUCGCAGAAGGGAGGCAAUAUCGCUCUAGAAUUUACACUACGCAAAGCCCUCACAGCACAAACAUCUUUUUUCUUUUACGAUCAAACUCUUGUACGAUCAAAGUCAUCUUUUUCUUAAUAAAAUCAAGAACACCAUCUUUGGUAUCAAUUGAUUCUGUCGUUCUUUGAGAAUUCUCGCAAAUCGUAUCCCUAAAUUAAAACCCUAGACAAAUCUCGAUUGUGUUAGUUUCGACUUCCACAAGGUUAAACUCAAUCGAGCAAACUCUAACGAGUGUUCAAACCACUCAAACAAAUUUGUCAAACGCGCAGAACGUUGUUUCAAGCCGUUUAGAUAAUUUGUCCUCAGCGCGAACAACAGCGUAUCAGCGCAGGCUAUUCCAGACUCCCACACAAAACAGAUCCGGGAGCACUCAAACUCCUCCUACAGGCCGUCCUGCUAGUACUAGCAAACAGACAACCGUAGGAGAUCGGUCCAAUCCAACCGGGGAUGAAAAUCCCCAAAAUCAGGGCAAUCCUGCUAUUGACGAAGGACUCCUUAUGGAAGAACCUGAUGUCAUCCUUUCCGAUGAUUUCGUCAAAGUUUGUCAAGAGCUUGAUGAGAUGAAGUCGAAGUUUCAUCAGGCGACCAGUUCGGCACCUGAGAUCGAUCGAGUAAUCGAAGAAACUCGACGAACACCCUUCAAUUCGAGAAUCUCGAACCUUCAGAGCAAAGAUUCUCGAAAGGUCAAAUUACCAACUUACGAUGGUAAAAGUGAUCCUAAAAAUUACCUCGCUGCUUUUCAGAUCGCUGCUGGCAGAAUUGAUCUAGAACCAGACGAGGAAGAUGACGGAUAUUGCAAACUAUUCUCUGAGAAUCUAUCCGGAUCGGCUUUAUUAUGGUUCACUUAGUUGGAGCCUGAAUCUAUUGAUAGUUUUAAGGAAUUGUCCUCCGCAUUCCUAAAACAGUAUUACAUGUUCAUGGAAAAGGCAACCUUUGAUGCAGAUCUAUGGAAUUUAACCCAAGGUCAGAACGAACCACUUCGCAAAUAUAUCGCUAAAUUCAAAGAAGUGAUAGCCAAAAUUCCUGGGGUGUCGCACGCUGCUGCCCUUUCUGCUUUAAGGAACGGACUUUGGCAUGAAUCCCGAUUUCGGGAAGAAAUCAUCGUCAAUCGUCCGAGCACUAUCCAAGAUGCUUUAUUCAGAGCUACUAAUUGGAUGGAGGAAGAAGAAGAAAAGCUUAGCCUCGCUAAAAAGCAUCGGCCAGCAAAAUUGGUCGUUGGAAAUCCAACUAAAAAAUUCGAACCAAAAGAUCAAAAAUGGUUCGGAGUUAAUCCUGCUACUAAUGCCGUAGGAAAACCCUCCCCAAACAAAGGAAGAUACAAUUCUUCUAAUAACUGGGUUAGAGAUGAGAGUGCCUAUUGCGAUAUUCAUAGAGUAAAUGGGCAUUCCACCAAAGAUUGCAGCGUACUCAAAAAGCACCUCACCGAACUAUGGGCGGCUGGAGAGCUCGCUAAUUUCAAUAUCGAGGAGUUUGUGGAAUCUUAUCAUAAAGAAAAAGAAUAUUUCGAAGCGUCCAAUCCUCCUGAAAAGAAACAUAAGCCCAAUGGGCCCGGAACUACAAACACUCCUAAGAAAAUGAUCGAUAUUAUAAUGGGAGGAUCCAAAUUAUGCCGAGAUUCGAUAAGAUCAAUCAAAAGGUACAAGAAAUCAGCAGCAAUUCAAACCGUUGUGGUCUUAAUUAGAGUGAAGUUACCACAGAAAUUGAAAUUGAUUCCGAAUUCCCAAAUCGAAAAGUAAAAAUCGGUACUAAUUUAGAUUCAGAAAUCAAAUAUCAGUUGGUAACAUUUCUGAAAGAAAAUAAACAUACUUUUGCCUGGUCGGCGAAAGAUAUGCCUGGAAUCGACAAAAGUAUCAUUACCCAUGAUUUAAACGUCGAUCCAGUUUUAAACCAAUAAAGCAAAAAACGAAGAAAACUUGGUCCAGACCGAGCUCAAGCGGUCAAUGACGAAGUUGAUAAGCUUUUGAAAAUUGGUUCCAUCAGAGAAGUGAAAUACCCGGACUGGUUAGCAAAGCCCGUGGUAGUCAAAAAGAAAAACGGAAAGUGGAGAGUAUGUGUCGAUUUCACCGACAUUAACAAAGCUUGCCCAAAAGAUAGUUUUCCUCUUCCACAUAUCGAUCGGCUCGUUGAGUCAACAGCCAGAAACGAACUCUUGACAUUCAUGGAUGCAUUUUCUGGAUAUAAUCAGAUCAUGAUGAAUCCUGAAGACGAAGAAAAAACUUCCUUCAUAACAGACAGAGGAAUCUACUGUUACAAAGUUAUGUCAUUUGGUCUAAAAAAUGCCGGUGCAACAUACCAACGUUUAGUUAACAAAAUGUUUUCAGAACAUUUGGGCAAAACGAUGGAAGUUUAUAUUGAUGAUAUGCUCGUGAAAUCUCUUAAGAAAUCUGAGCACAUCACUCAUCUUGAGCAGUGUUUCAAAAUUCUGAAUGAUUUCGGAAUGAAAUUAAAUCCUGCCAAAUGUUCUUUUGGUGUGCCUUCCGGAGAAUUCCUAGGCUAUAUAGUCACGGAAAGAGGAAUAGAAGCAAAUCCUAAUCAGAUUAACGCUUUCCUUACUAUGCCUUCGCCAAGAAACAUUAAGGAAGUCCAACGAUUGACAGGCAGAAUUGCUGCAUUAAAUCGUUUCAUAUCGAAGUCUACCGAUAAAUGUCUCCCUUUUUAUCAGAUUUUAAAAGGAAACAAAAAAUUUUGGUGGGAUGAUCAAUGCCAAGCGGCUUUCGAUCAACUCAAAACUUAUUUGACAACACCGCCGGUUCUCUCAAAACCUGAAUCGGAUGAAAAACUUUACCUUUACAUCUCAGUUUCUAAUCAUUCUGUAAGUGGGGUUUUAGUUCGAGAGGACUAAGGUGAGCAAAAGCCGAUUUUCUACAUAAGUAAAUCUCUAACUAGUCCAGAAACGAGAUAUACCAUGAUGGAGAAAUUAGCUUUAGCAGUGGUCGUAUCCGCUAGGAAGCUCAGGCCUUAUUUCCAAUCUCAUCCUAUAGAAGUACUAACUUCCCAUCCGCUUUGCUCAAUUCUUCACGGGCCAAGUCAGUCCGGUAGGUUAGCGAAAUGGGCAAUCGAACUCAGUGAGUACGAUAUAGAAUACAAAAGUCGAACUAGCGCAAAAGCACAAGUUCUGGCUGAUUUUCUAACCGAACUGCCACUAGAUGAUGGAAUCUCUAUUGAGACAGACUCUACAUGGAAAUUACAUGUAGAUGGAUCUUCUUCUAAACAAGGAUCCGGAAUCGGCAUUAGGCUCUAAACUCUGACAAAGGAAAUAAUCGAGCAAUCAUUUCGAUUAAUGUUUCCAGCUUCGAACAAUGAAGCAGAAUACGAAGCUCUUUUAGCAUGACUUCGGUUUGCUCUUGCGAUUAGAGCAGAAAAAAUAAUAGUUUGUUGUGAUUCUCAGCUAGUUGUAAACCAGUUUGCUGGAGAUUACGAAGCUAAGACUCCUCGAAUGGAAGCUUAUCUUUCGGCUGUCAAAAAAUUAGCCGGAAAAUUAAAAGAUUUCGAAUUAGUUCGAAUACCUAGAGGAGAAAACACUUCGGCAGACGCUUUAGCGGCCCUAGCUUCUACCUUAGAUCCUGAACUCAAACGAGUUAUCCCAGUUGAAUGUAUUUCUUCGUGAAGUAUUUCAGUUGAAGAAACAGAAAACGAUAACAUUUCGGAGGCCGAAUACAUCGAAACUCCAAAACAAAACUCCGGAAAUAGUUCACUUGUCAUCACCAGAUCACAGAUAAAGUCUCAAGAUGACAAACUUACUCCACCAUUGGAACUUCCUAAAAGACAGUCAAAAAGAAAGUUAAAGGAUCAAGAGGUUCCCAUUAAGGAACCGUCUCGAACCGAACAGUCACUUCCAGGUGAUGUAGAGGUUCAGGAGACAAUCGAAGAUCCUGAUAUUCCUUCCGAACCCGAACCAAGGAAGUUUAUACUCAAGGAUAAUACUUCCGCUAAUGAUUGGGGGGCUGACUGGAGGGUACCCAUAAAAAAUUUCAUUCUUAAUGGAGAACUACCAUCUAACAAAUGGUAAGCUCGCAAAUUAAAAAUCAUCAGCGCUAAGUAUUGUAUAAUUAAAGAAUCAUUGUACAAGCGAGGCGUCAGUGAUCCUUAUCUUUUAUGUAUUUUCGGACCCGAAGUUGAAAUAGUGACAAGCGAGGUCCACGAAGGGCUUUGUGGUAGUCAUUCUUCGGGACGAGCAAUGGCUUUCAAAAUCAAACGGUUAGGAUAUUUCUGGCCAACUAUGAUUUCAGACUGCAUUGAUUACGCCAAACGGUGUAAAAAGUGUCAGAUGCACGCUCCUCUUAUUCACCAGCCAUCUGAAAUUCUAUCACAUAUAUCCGCUCCAUACCCUUUCAUGAGGUGGUCAAUGGAUAUAAUCGGUCCGAUGCAUCGUUCAACACAAGGCGUCCAAUACUUAUUAGUUCUAACGGACUAUUUUUCCAAAUGGAUUGAAGCUGAAGCUUAUAUAAGCAUACAAGAUUCCGUAGUAAAGACAUUCUUGUGGAAACACAUUAUUUGUCGCUAUGGAGUUCCUUACGAAAUAGUAACGGACAAUGGUCCUCAAUUCAUUUCAAAUGAUUUUGAAGAUUUUUGUUCCGCUUGGGGAAUAAAACUUAGCUACUCAAUGCCGAGGUAUCCUCAAGGAAAUGGACAAGCGGAAGCCUCCAAUAAAACCAUUCUCAGCAAUCUUAAAAAACGCUUGAGUGCCCAAAAAGGUGGAUGGUAUGACGAGCUGCAACCUGUGUUGUAGGCUUAUCGAACAACCCCAAGGCGAGCAACGGGUGAAAUUCCAUUCUCAUUAGUUUAUGGGAUGGAAGCCGUAGUCCCAGCCGAGCUGAAUGUUCCAGGUUUGCGCCAAAGCGAAGCUCCACUUAACGAGGAAUCGAAUUCUAAAUUAUUAGAAGACGUUCUCGAUACAAUCGAUGAAAGGAGAGACCAAUCCCUUAUUCGACUUCAGAAUUAUCAACAGUUGACCGCUCGAUACUAUAACUCAAAGUUGAAAAACAGACCUUUAAAUGUAGGAGACUUUGUUUUAAGGCGAGUGUUCGAUAACACAAAAGAAGAAGGAGCUGGAAAACUCGGUAUUAACUGGGAAGGCCCUUAUCAAAUCCGCUCCUUGACCAGCGAAGUCAACGAUGCUCAUAAUGCAACCUGGCAUGUUUCCGUACUCUUGAAGUCCCAGUUUGAUCCAAUCGGAAGGAUGGGCUUCGAGGCAAUGAAGCUCGCGAGCAAUGUCAAGGCAACACUUCCCUAGUUCCCUUCUCUUCUUCCUAAUCUCCUUUUUCUCGUCCUCGAGCUCGUCAUGCCGAGUGAUAAGCUGAAGAAAAUAAAACGCUACGUUGAGUAAUAACAAAAAGAAGUUAAAUCACUAGGAUGAAAAAUACCUUGGUGAUAAACUCCUCGGCCUUAACACGAUCUUGGGCUGACAAUCUCUCGAUUAAUACGAUCGGAACCUGAAUGCUGGUUCCCUUCCUCAAUAUUCGUGACCCUUCCGGUUCGCCAGUUCUUCCCGUUUUUGUAAGCUCGAUGUCUGGUGCUCCCGGAAGAUCGUCACUUAUCAAUCUGGAUGAGUCAGAAGUUUUCUCUGAAGAAGUUCCCUCUUUAGACAUUUUUGUAGAAUUGUUGUUGAAAUUCAAUGAUAAACUACACCCACUUUAUACUCAAAAAUUUAUUCGAUUGCAUUUAAGAGGAUUAAUUGACGAUUUCCCAAAUCUAAAAUUACGACUUUCAUGGAAAAUGUAAUCGAGUUAAUUGCUAAUUAUAUUCCCUAGAUUAAACGCAUUAAAUGAGAUUUGAAUAAAUCGGCAAAUUUAAAGCAAAAGGAGGAAUAUAAUUAAUGUUGUUGGGUUUCAAGUCCAGUGACAUUUUACAAACAUAAAACGGAAAGUGUUCGAUUAAAAGUGUUCGCCCGAUAUUGACUCCAGCGAGGUGGAAGAUCCCGAACAGCUUUCUGAGGAUAGUCCCUCGUCAGAAGAUAAAUCAAAAGGGCCGGGGAAGUGAUCAACAAUUUUCAUCUUCGGUUCCUCUUUUUCUUCAGUUCUUAACAUCGGAAGUCUCCAAAACUCUGAGGAACAUGAAACAAAAGAGGACCCAUCGCUGGUCGCCAAGGAUAAACGAUGAAAUCUAUCCAGCAUGCGGAGGAAUCUUCGGAGACAAGUAGGCAUUAUGGCCACAAUGUCUAGACCAUUCCUCUCCCAUUCGUGCGGUUCAGAUUCCAGGCGAAGGAUCUCUCUUUCCAUCCUCUUUAUGCGCUCAUCAAGAGCACGGCGCCUCCUUCCGAUUCUUUGUCUCUUAUCACAUUAAGCUUUGUGUCUCCCGACAAUCUGUUUGAACAAACAUUUUGUCAAAUGACCAAAAGAAAGGAAGUUAUAGUUUUCUGAGAAGACUAAGAGUUAGAAAAGGAACCUUUUCCAAGAAGUCAUAACAUUUAACCCUUUUCUUCCCUGUUCGGAAAUGAAAAAACGUUGGGUGAAUAACUCCCUUUGGAGAGAAUCCGUCUUCAGACUCAAACAGUGGGUUCCCACCUGAAGUUGUUAUACUUGAGCUUGAUCUGAAAGAAGACAGCGACAUUUUUCAAGUUUUUUCUUAUAGUGAACUAUGGUGAUCUUUCGGAAUUCCUUUUGAAGGAGAAAGAGGUUCAGAUUUCUAAAAAUAAUUAUAUAUUGCUGGCCUGUUAGAGCAGGCUUCAGAUCCAAUUAAAACGCGGCCCAGCGAUUCCGAAGCCAUCAUGGGCAACGAUCAAAACCAUUGCCUGGUCAUAUUUAUGACAAAAUUCUCAUGAAUUAUAAAUCUUAUCCCUCGAUAUAAAAAAAAAAACUUAAGCCGAGCUCCAUCCUCGCCUUCGAGAGACCGAGGAAAAAUACUUAUUAAGAUUUUUUCUUUAAAAAAGGCAAGUGAGCCUGAUCAGCUCAUCUCUCACAAUUCAUAAAACCUCUUUGGCGGGCUAGGACUUGCAAACCUAGAAUCAUGUCCAAACGUUUUUGUUUAAAAUAAUCAUCAUAUGCCAGAGCAUGUACAUGGUUGUGUUCAGUCACACUAAUUGAACAAAAUAUUUCCGUCAAACGGAAUAAUCCUCAUGGACUCAACAAAACAAUUCUUAAAAAAAAAAAAGAGCGUUCCUACACCUCUGGAGAACCCUCAUGUGGCCGAGAACCUUCACCUACCUCGAAUUGAGAUGGAGAAUCUCCAAAUACCAAAGAAAAUUGUUUCAGAUCGAGAGUAGGACGGGAAGCCGAGGAUUACUCGGACUCAACCAUAGCGAGUUCGGCAGCAACUUCGCUCCUCCCGUUCUCGAACGAAACUNNNNNNNNNNNNNNNNNNNNNNNNNNNNNNNNNNNNNNNNNNNNNNNNNNNNNNNNNNNNNNNNNNNNNNNNNNNNNNNNNNNNNNNNNNNNNNNNNNNNNNNNNNNNNNNNNNNNNNNNNNNNNNNNNNNNNNNNNNNNNNNNNNNNNNNNNNNNNNNNNNNNNNNNNNNNNNNNNNNNNNNNNNNNNNNNNNNNNNNNNNNAACCUCGGGCUGCCUCCAGACAUUAAAAACAUGGCACUCAGCUGCAUGCUGCAGGUCGACUUAGACCCUCCCAUCUCUAUAGUCUCCAUAAACGCCUUCGGAGUAAAAAAAAAAACGUGUCGUUUAGACAAAAAGCUUUACCUAAGGAAGGAAGGUUGUCAUAAUCUAAAAGAUCCAAACCUGGGAUAGGUAGCAAGCUCGAUUGGCGAACAUCUGACGAAUUUCCGGCCUCCAAAUCGAAAAAGGAGGAAGGGACGCCCCUUCCCUGGUUUGGAAACUUCGGAAGAUGUCUCCAAUCUCUUCUCCGCCUGCGAAGCAGAGGAGAAUAGCAGAUUAAUAAAAUAGAUGCAAUCUGUAGCAAGUUUUGCUAAUGCUCGCUUUCUAAGUAAAAACUUACCUGAAAUCGAAGCGGGUAAAGGAUUUUGAGUCCUAACACUCAGUCCUUGAGAUAGGGGAGCCUCCGGUCUCGGCUCAUCUAUUUCCUCUGAAAUUACUUUGUCCUCCGGAAGAGGGAGCUCGGAGUUUAAAGGUUCUAAAGAGGGAGAAACAGAACGUAGAGGGCUAGAGACUCGUGGCGGAGAACUUAAUCUCAUGGUUUUAAGUCUCUCGUUUGAUAGAUUAUCGAAAUCUGGAGCCUUCCUCUUUGUACAAGGAGAGGAGGUUAUUUCUCCCUCACACCCUGGUUCGGAAGGGCAAAUUGCGGUGGCAACUGGAGGGUCGUUAAGGAUCUCGGCUCCAUUAGUAUCCACCGCGGCUGACAGGGCUGCUUCUAAUGAAGUCAUCAACCAAGAGGGUCUUCCUGUGGAAGUUACCAACCCUGGAGAUUGCAGUUAUCCGUUUCUUUCUCCCGAUUUCGGAUAGCUGAUCCUUAAGAGCCUUGAUUUCAGCCUGCAUCUUUCUUUUAUCUCGAGCAUUCAGGCUCGAGACGUCUUUAUCCUCGAGAGGAGGAUCGAGGGGGUGAGUCUGACCGUCUUUAAUGGCGAGCCCCACUUUAUGAAUGCGUUGAAGGGUGAAGGAAUUCCAAUUUGUUUCACCCUCGGAAACGAUUCGAAAGAAGGACAAGAAGUCAACGGUUGGGAGAGUGAUCGUCUGGUUCCCUGAAACAAAGUAUUGGGUUAAGAAUUCUAUCUCUUUUACAUAAUACAGUGGAAAGUAAUAAAGGUUGGAUUUUUAACCAAGUUUAGCCGACCAAUUGGCGAGAAGAAGACCGGAAAGACCUUGAACGGAAUGGGGAUUGACUCAGAAAAAGAACCAGUAUUUCCUCCAAGGCCCAUCAUUCGAGGGCAUUCCAUCGAUCAGGUUACGGUCAAGGAUAGGGUUUAUAGAAAAAAUACCCGCUGCUACGGAUUCACGGGCUCGAAAUAGCUCUAAGAGUUCACUGGUGGAGAGGGAAAACCCUGCUUCUGCCAAAACAGUCAGGGUGCUCAGAACGUAUCGAAGAAAGUUGGGAGCCAUUUGGGGAAAGGCAAUCCCUAGGUGGAGGAGGUAUAAAAGAAGAACUUCCGGUACGGGAAAAAACAAACCACAACCUUUGAAAUAGACUUCGUACGCACAACAGUAACCCUCUCGGACCACUUCCGGAGACUCGUUGGGUCUAGGAAGAGAGAAUUCAAUUUCCUGGGGGAUGUUACAAAGUCAGCGAAGAGCGCCAAGGGAAGCAGAGGUCGACUGAAACCUGAAAUGCGGACCAAAUUUGUCUCCCCUUUGGGUGAAGACUUCAUCCCCUCUGGGAACAGGGAUUACUACUUGACUGUCAACUUCGUUUUCUGAAACAUAGACGGCUGGGGAAGACAUCUUUUACUAAGAGGUUUCUUUUUCUGGUUUGGUAAAAGCUUUUAGAGGUAAAUGUACACUGCUGUAAAAGCCGUCGUUCCAUUUAACCUUAUUUAGCAGAAAACCGCCUCGAGAAUAUUGGGAAGUGGGAUGGUUUUUCUCGCAGUAUUAAUAUAAAAUUAGAAAAUUAAUGAUGACGGUUGUCAGGGAUAUCAAAUCAUUUGAUUAUCCGAGAUCGGCGUAAUAGCGUAAAACAUGGAAUAAUUUCGGAAUGUUAAAGAUCUCGAGUCAUUAAUUAUUGUUUACUUAAGUCUUCCAAGCCGAGCACUCAGCUCGCAAGACUUGGGGGGCUAAAUGUUGGGGUCGGAUCCCACACAUCUUCGGUAGGAUCCACUUGGAUCUGUCCACGUCAUUAUUACAUAAUAAUCCUCUUGGAUUUCUAGAUGUUUCAUUGCGAGAAUCGAGCUCGACCUGUCGGAAGUUCGAUUCAGUUUAUUAAAGAGCUCGAUCUUUACCAGUACGGAGUUCGUUCUUAUUCAACAUAUAGUUCGCAUAAAAGAAGGCCGAAGCGAGGAGAAUAUUGUUCGAGGUUCGCGGCAGCGUCAAGACGCUGGAGUUAGGAGUCAACAAGAAAGAGUUCGGAAGAUCCACGCGAAGCCCAAGAUAGUUCAAAUUCAAGCCGUUUCGGUCAAAUUGUAACCUACAUGAUUAAUGCGGAUCAAUGCGAUUAUGAGCAGUAAAUGACCGCAUUGAUCAUGUUUUCUCUAUAAAAACAACCUCAAACGCAUGUGUUUGGCAGAGAACAACUUUUUACCUCUUACGAUCAAGCAAUACAACAUACUCUUUCUUUUACAAUUUCAGAAGGCUUUUUACUAUUUUAUUCUUGCCAAACUCUUUCGCUUUAUUUAGUUUCUUGGUUACUUUCCUUUUCAAAUCAUUAUUUUCAUUUGUUGAUUUUAGAGUUUUUAUCCACAAAAAUACUUAAAGACAAUCGAGUGUGAAUCCUACAUCCACACUCAUCGUUUACAAAUGAGCAAUGGAAGGCUAUUGAGCAGAUGGCUAGUGAAAAAAGCAACGACAACUCCGACAAGCUCUCCGGUAAGUUGGUCUCUGGUAAGAUUUAUGAGGACAUGAUCCUCGACACUGGAGCUUCCCAUCAUAUGACUGGGAAUCUUUCACUGUUAGUCAACAUUACUCCUAUCUCUAUUUGCUCAAUGGGUUUUGCUGAUGGGAGUAAAACAGUUUCAGAAAGUAUUGGCGUGUUCCGAGUUUCAGAUAAAAUCACAUUAUAUGAUGUGUUAUAUGUUCCUGACCUCAAUUGCUCUCUUUUAUCCGUCUCGAAGCUACUCAAACAAAUUCAAUGUGUGGCAUUAUUUACUGAUACAUUAUGUGUUUUAUAGGAUCGUUUUUCGAGGACGCUGAUUGGAGCCGGGAAAGAGCGUUUUGGGGUCUACUACUUUACGGAUGUGGCAGCCGUAGGGGGUAACAAGGUUGAAGCGCAGGGUGAUUCGACUUUGUGGCAUCGUCGGCUGGGACAUCCUGCUUAUUCAGUGUUUUCGUCUUUACCUAUGAUUUCUAGGAUUUGUAAAUUAGCUAGUCCGAGUCCUUGUGACAUGUGUUUUUGGGCUAAGCAAACACGAGAAGUUUUUUUCUGAAAGUUCUAACAAAGCUAUGGAUUGUUUCUCAUUAAUUCAUGUGGACGUAUGGGGACCAUAUCGUGCAUCAGCCUCUUGUGGAGCUGUGUAUUUUUUUACUAUCGUAGAUGAUUUUUCUAGAGUGGUAUGGACAUAUCUCUUACUAGAAAAAUCUGAAGUUAGACGUGUUCUACAAAAUUUUUGUGUGUAUGCCGAGAAACAAUUCGCGAAAUCAGUUCAUAUGGUACGAAGUGACAAUGGUAAGGAAUUCAUGUGUCUUUCUGCCUAUUUUAAGGAGAACGGUAUUGUUCACCAAACCUCGUGUGUUGACACUCCUCAGCAAAAUGGAAGUGUCGAGAGGAAGCAUCUUCAUAUUUUAAUGUUGCUCGGUCACUUCUCUUUCAAGCUAAUCUAGCGGUUAUUUUUUCAGGGGAAGUAAUUUUAGCGGCUGCCUAUCUUAUUAAUAGGACUCCGUCAAAGGUUCUUAACGGGAAGACACCGUAUGAACUUCUUCAUGGUGUACCGCCAUCGUAUGAUCAACUAAGAGUAUUUGGUUUUCAUGUUUAUACUCACAAGCGCUUAAGAGACCAAGAUAAAUUUGGACCACGGAGUUGGCAAUGUAUUUUUAUGGGCUAUCCGUUUAGUAAAAAAGGCUGGAAAGUAUACGAUAUGGAAACAAAUGAGUUUUUAGUGUCUCGAGAUGUGGUAUUUCAAGAAAAUAUUUUUCCUUACCACAAAGAAACGGAUGAGCAGGCGCCUACUCAUGAGAUUGUUGAUGAAGAUUGGGUCAUUGAUUUGUCACCUGCUCUUGUAGAAAGGGGGAGUGAGUCUUAACACGAGCAUGUCACGGAUGAGACUCCGGUUUUGAAUACACCAUCAACUCCACCAAUCUAUAAGGGUACAGAUUUAGAUUUGGAAACGACACAAACUUCACAAGUUUCACCAGAAGUGUCAUCGGAUCCAGUACCUGCUGUUUCCUCGCCAUCAUCUAGCUUACAAACAGCAGAGAUUGAAGAUUUGGGUCAAGGAAAACGAAUUUUGGGAUUGUUCAAUCAUAUUCGGACUAUUCGCUUUUCACACUCUCGUGUGCCGGAGUUGAACUUUAGGUUUUGAUUUAUGUUAACGAUUUGUUGAUUUGUGGUAACGAUUCACGUAUGAUUCAAAGCUUUAAAGACUAAUUGGGAAGGUGUUUUCACAUGAAAGACUUAGGAAAAGCAAAAUAUUUUCUUGGGAUAGAAAUUGCUAGGAGUUCCGAAGGCAUUUAUCUCUCUAAGCGUAAAUAUGCACUUGAUAUAGUAACCGAGGCUGAUCUUCUUCAUUCACGACCUUCUUCCACUCCGAUUGACCAGAAUUAUAAAUUGGAGAUGAAUGAGAGUGAGCUUCUUCCUCGUCCUGAAGAGUACAUGAAGUUAGUUGGGCUUUUGAUCUAUCUUCUUUCUACUCGACCAAAGUUGUGCUACUCGGUUCAUAUAUUGUCUAUGUUUAUGCAAGCUCCACGUGUUGAUCAUUGGAAUGCGGUGCUCCGUGUUGUGCGUUAUUUAAAAGGCUCUCCAGGUCGAGAUGUAUUACUUAGCUUGGAUUCUGACCUCACUCUCAUGGCUUAUUGUGAUUCUGACUUUGCCACAUGCUCUACGUCUCGACGAUCGUUAAGUGGCUAUGUGAUGUUUGUGGGUGGCUCUCCCAUUUCAUGGAAGACAAAGAAACAAAAGAACCUUGAUACUAAACCAGAUCGAGCCCGGGAUCUUCUUGAAAAUGGGAAGAACGUUGUCUCUCAUUCCUCCCACUACAGGAAAUGUGGGUAUUAAUAGCGUAAGAGCAUAGCGUUUUGAAUGUUUAUGCUAUAAUAGAGUUUUGAAAAAUUUUAGAUAGCGUUUGGAGAAAGGCAAACACUAUAGUAGGUUGAGUGCGAAAAAUAUUUCAGAGUGGCGCUUAGUAUUUGGUCUAUGAUAGCAUAGAUGUAAAUUAAAACGUUAUUAUAGGUAUAACCGGGAAACUAAAAUUUUAUUGGCUCCAAAAAUUUUACUAAGUAACAAAAUAAUAAAAGAAAACAAAGAAACAAUAAGUUAAAAAAAAAAAAAAUUAGGGCUAUCGAUCCUUCUCACAUCUUUCUUCUUUCUUUCCUCUUCUCACAUCUUUCUUCUCUGUCUCGAGACUGAUCCGUUCUUUCUCCCUGAAAGACCAAAUAUGAACACCAAAUGAAACCCAAUUAGUUUCUCUUCCACUAUCGAUCCCUAAUUUUGUCUAAUCCCUCUCAGAUCAAAAUCCCUCUCAGUCAAAAUCUCUCUAGAUCUCGAUCGUAUGUUUCUUAAUCGUCACAGACAUCAAUCGAAAUCAAAUUGGUUAGUAUAUGUAUGGGUGUUCGAUAUUCUCAAUGAUUUAGUUUUUAUUCAUGUUAGGGUUUCAUCUGUUUUUGUUGUUUUUGAAGUAAUUGGGUUUUGGAUUGUUGUUUGUGUGAUUUGAAUCGUGUUUCUUUCUUCUUAUGUGAGUUUGGGUGUUCGACUUUCAAUUUGUGUUUUCGAUUGAUUUAUGUCUGAGUUUAGAUUCAUUACAAGAUAGUCUAUUUACUAGAUUCUUUACUAGAUAAUGCAUGUAUCGAUUGAUUUUUGUCCUGAGUUUGGAUAGAGUAGAAAAGUUUCUUGCUCUCAUAUAAAGAUGCUAAUUUGGUUUCCUAGCUCUUGUCUCUAGUUCUUACCGGUCGCUGCCACUGCUCUCAUGAUUAUUGAUGUCUCAUGUAUCUUUUUCUGAUGUGUAGUUGGAUUUGCGGAUCUGUAUGGAUUUGAAGUACAAGAGGAAUCCAUAUGCUUCAGACAUUGAGUAACUUUAAGGACGGUGAAGUCGUGCUUCUCCAGGAUAUCUGCAGAAAGGCAAGUGAUUGAAGAAUAAUACGAACAAAGCCUUGAGAGAAUGUCAUGAUUAUUUAUUCUUUGUUUGGUUGUUCUGUUUCAGGUUGCGAUUCAUCUUAUGGUUAACCAACUUCUUGGAGUGUCAAGCCAAUCAGAUUUUAGGGAAAAGUUAGAGGAUGCUGAAACUGCACUAUGUAUACUCAACGUGUCACAAGUACAACAAGGUCUCUGAAAUUUAUGUCGCUGUUUUAAGUGUCGAAGACUGGUGUUCAAAAAAAAAAAAAAAAAAAAAGAGAAAGUGUCGAAGACUUUGUUUUAUUUUGGUAUGCACUUCUCUAGACUUUGUUUUAUUUUUAUGUCGAACAAUAUAUGUAUGCACUUCUCUAGACUUUGUUUUCUCAUGUUAAUAAAUUUUAAUUCAUAAUUAUUCGUAUACGUUUGAUAGUUUGUUAAUAAUAUACUAUCA